CUGGAUGACAAAAUCCACUAUCUUAGACAAAUCAUGCUUAAGGUUAAUUUAUUAAAGUUUAAUAAAUUAAUUAAGAUGAAUUAAAAAUUAAACUGUAAUACCCAAUUUUGCCCCGGACCCCAAUUAAUAAAUAAAACCAAAUUCAAUAAAAAUUCAAAGUCCAUUUACAUAAUUAAAGUCCAUGUCCAGAUUACAGCAAAAUUAGAAGCCUAUUUACCCAACUAGCCCAAUACACCCUAGCCCAUAACAUAAACAAAAAAUAGAAUCAGAAACCAUAGCAAAACCUUCAGCCGCUGCUUCCCCUCCGCGCGUGCCGAGCCUCCGCGCGCGUGCGCCUCCAAGCUGGCGUGUACCUGCAACGAACAACGAACAGCAAGCAGCAAGAGAAGCAAAACGACAGAUUGACAGCUAAAAAUAAAGAGUUUUCUGUAAUUUUUAUUUUUAUCUUAUUCGGCUUUAUAAAGCCAUUUGUAAUACUGUAAAGAGGGGAUAGGGAAAAAGGAAUGAAAAAAACCGAAUUGCAGUAAAUUUUAAGAGGUGAUUUUCCGAUUUCAGUUUUUUUUUCGCUUCUUCGUUUUUUUAUUAUUUAUUUUCUUCUUCUUUCUUGGAUAUGCGAAAAUAAAAAACGGGGAGAAAAAUCGAUUAAUAAAAUAAGAGAAAAGAGAGGAAGUUUACCUUCAUUAAGUCCGCCAUUGAAGCCUCUAUCCGCUCCGAUUGAAUCGGGGGUAGAUGGAUAAGGGGGCCAAAUCUGAAAACGGCGCACAGAGAGGGUAGAUUUAGGUUUUUUUUAGGUUAGAUUCAUAAUUGAAAUGGCUGCUAAUUUUUUAGGUUUUUUUUUGGCCUAUAGACAGUGUAAGAAACGACGUCGUUUGAUGCAGUUUCAGUGAUUUCAAAACGGCGUCGUUUAAGGCCGAGAUCCGCGCGGUGACCCGACCCGAGGGGAGGAUUCGCGCGUUUUGUCUCAAUGAUUUAUUAGCGCAAUUGUCCCCCCGCUUUUGAUACGAGUUUAAAUAGAUCCUUUAUGUUUCUUAAAUUUUACCACAUAUUUCAUUGUUUGUUUCAAUUUCGUCCAUGUCGAAACGCAGCGUUUGGGGCUGGGGAUAUUUUUCUCUUUAGUCCCCAUGUUAUUCGCGCGCGCCUUUUUGGUCCUCAAUUCUGCUUUUUUUUUCUUUUUUUUUCGAAUUUGAUACAAUUCUGUCUAUAUUUAUUUAAUUUAAUGUACUUGAUUUUUAUUCUGUUUAAAUUUCAUUUUUCUGUUAUUUUUAGAUAUAUUUAUUUUAAAUCUCACAUUAUUUUAUGCUUAAGCUUAAUAACCUUUUAAACUUAUCAUCAAUAUUACUUUAAUUUAUAAUAUUUUAUUAUUUUAAAUUUAUCAUAAACAAAUUUUAAAUUUAUCAUGUAUGUUUAUUUCAAAUUUAUUAUGUAUUAUAAUUAAAAUUUGUCAUGUAUUUUUUUAAAAUUCAAUAUAAAUUGGUCGUUUAUUUUAUAGUACACUCAUUUUAUAAAAUUCACUUUUAUAUGUUUUUAUGUGAAAGAUUUUUUUAAUGAUAUUCUUAUACAAUAUUAAUAUAUAUAGAUAAGUCAUAUCAAAUUAUUAUUAUAAGAUUAUUAUGUUUACACAUUUUUUAAAACUAAUUUAUAUAUAUAAUCAUAUUCUUUUAAAAACCCUAUUUUAUAUAUUUCGUUUAUUUCAACUUCUUUAUAUAUAUUAUUAUGUAUAUAUAUUAUCAUUUUUACUUUUUUUUUCUUUCACGUGUAUUACUUAUUUAAAUUAAUAUAUGUAUAUUAUUUUAUGUAUUUAAUUUUCUUUUUAUAUAAUAUUUAUUUUUAAAUUUAUUUGGAUACUAUUAUUUUAUGUAGUAUUUAUUUUUAAUGCUAUUUUGAUUUAUUUCAAACUUUCAUUUUUGUACAUAUAAUUUAUUGAUUAUAAUUUCCCUUCUUUUGUUUUUAGUUAUUUCAAAAACUUGUCACAUUUCAUAUUUGUUAAUUUGUUUGGUAUUUUUUAGAUUACCUCACAAAGAUUAAUGUUUGUAUUUGCAUAAUAUGUGACUAUUGCCCUUAUGUGUAUGGUAUUGCUUAUUCAUAUUUAUUUAUUCUUUGUCGCUCAUUAGUGUACAUUUUAAUUUACGAAUUAUCAUUUCGCGUUAUACAUGAUCAUCCCAUUGCGUUUUAUUGUCAAAAAAAUUACGUUUCAUUUAAGCAUUAAAAUCGUUUUAUUCAAAAUUUUUCAACAUAAAGCAAUACUCAGUAUUUAGGAUCUGCGAAAAGAUUGAGCCUUAACUUAUUGGGUUUCAAUUUUUCUCAUUGAAUCUAAAUAAUCGAGUACCAUUUUUUAACCAAGACAUAAAUAAAAAGCUCAUUCUCGAGAAUUCGAUACGUUGUGUCCUAACGCAUUGGAUAUGACAUGUUGUUUUCUCGAGAUGAGAGUUUUUCUAAAAGAUAAUAAAGACAAUAUUCAAUGUUUGGAAUUUUGAGAAUUUUUGCCCUAACGUAUUGGGCUUCGAUUUCUUUAUCUGACUUAAACAAUUGAAUAUCCUUUUAAAUUUCAUUGUUGAAACCAUUUUUUAAAAACAAAAAAUUUAGGUUGUCGACUUUAAAAAAUGAAAAUUGGGAGUCGCCACCAAUCUUUUAUUAAGGUGUGAUUGGAUCACCUAAAAAAAUGGCUUUGGUCUACGAGUUUUAGAAAAACGGAUCCGGGAGUCAGUUACGUACGAUGAAGGAUUAGCACCCUCGUAACGCCCAAAAUUGGUACCUAGUUAAUUAAUUAGUGUCUUAAUGUCGAAAAUUUGAAAAAUAUAAUCUUUAGCAAAAACUUAAAAACGUUACUUAUUAAGACCAUUAUCAUUUCGAAGAAAGAAAAUGUCACACCCAAUGCGUUAGGGCACAACAUUCUAAUUUCCUAAAAAAUGAAUUAGUCUAAAACUCGUGUAAUAAAAAUUUAAAAGAAUAUUCAUUUGUUUAAGAUUUAAGAAAUCGCGGCCCAAUACGUUAGGGCACAAUUCCUCAAAAUCCCAAACUUGAAAUAUUUCCUUUAUUAUUAUUUUUUCAAAAAAUAUUUGUCUCGAGAAAUCAAUACGUCACAUCCAAUACGUUAGGAUACAACAUAUUUAACUCCCCAACAACAAGCUUUUUAUUUUAUAUAUUUUUUAUUAAUGAGCAACCCUCGAUCGUUGGAUUUAACGAAGAAAAUCGGAACCCAAUACGUUAGGGCUCAAUUUCCUUGAAAAUCCUAAAUACGAGUGUUAUCUCAAUUUUGAAAAUUUUAAAAUAAAAAAAAUGAUGUGAUGCUACAUUAAAUAAAAAAUGUAAUAAUAAAUACAACAAUGGCAUAGAAAUAAACGAAAUUAAUGUACAUAAACAACGAUAUGUAAAAUAUCAAAUGAAUAUAAAUGAAAACAUAAAUCAAUAAGCAAAUGAAGGAAAUAAACAAAAAAAAUAUAAAGAGAAAAAGGUACAAAAUAUAUAUACAUUUGAAAUUAUGAAGAAUAAAAGAGAUAAAGAUAAUUUACUCAUAAAAUUUUGGGUUAUAAAACUUAUAUAUAUAUAUAAAAUACAUAAUGCAUUUAUGAAAACAAGGAAAAUAUAAAUAUAUACAUAUAAAAUAUAUUCAUGCAUUUACAAAAAAAUGAAAUAUAUAAGUAUAAUAUAAAACGUGGAAAAUAUUUAUAAUAAGCUUUGAAUGGAGUAUAAAUAUAUGUGUAUAUAUUACAAAAAUGUAUAAACAUAUAAAAAUCAUAGAAUAUGGGCAAACGUAUAAAUAUUAUGAAAUAUAAAUGUGUAUAUAUAUAUGUAUAAAAAACUAUGAAAAUAAAAUAAUAAUAAAGUAUGUAUAUAAUAUGUAUAUAUAUUAAAACGUUUAAAAUAUAUAUGUAUAUAUAUUAACAUGCAUAUGCACACAUAUAUGUAGGUAUAAUAAUAAUAUAUAAUAUAAUAAUAAAAAUAAUAAUAACAAAAUUAAUAAAAUAGACUAAAAACCUAAAAUGAAAGAUUAAGGAUUAAAUUGAAAAUCAACAUAAUUUAAAAAAAAAUGAAGGGCCCAAUUAAAAGGGGCGAAUAACUCAUAAGGCUCGAAUGGAAAAAUAUCUCCAUCCUUUGAAACGCGUCACUUUAUUAGGGCUAAAUAAAAUAAAUGAAUAAAAUUCACAGUGGUAUCACAUUCUGCCUUUUUUAAAAUCGUAAAUAAGUAAAAAAUAAUCGAAAAAGAAAAAAAAAGAAAACAGUAAGCCACCUUUAAAAAACUGCCAAUCGUUCUCCAUUUUUUAUUGAUUCUUUUUUUUUUCUGACAAUGAAGGGAGAUGCCUCUAUUUAUAGCUGAGCCUCCCUAAAUCCAACGGUACAGAUCAAUUACAUAAACAGCUAAGAUUAAUGUAACACCCCUUACUCGAGUCCAUAGCCAGAGUCGAGCAUGAGGCGUUACUUAACUUAACUUAAAGGUUCGGGGCAUAAAAAUUUACUUAUAAAAGUUAUUUCACCAGCAAUCACUAAAUUAAUUAUAACUCAAGCUACGAAACUCGAAAUUUAGAUCCAUAAAUAUUCCCUGAAACUAGACUCAUAUAUCUUUUCACCAUAAAUUUUUCAGAUUUUUUGGUUCAGCCAAUUAGUACAGUUUAUUAGUUAAAGUCUCCCCUGUUUCACUGGUCGACUAUCUUGACCUCUCGUCACUAAAAUUCAAUUAUCUCAUUGUACAGACUUCAUAUGGUGUUUCUAGUUAUUUAUACUUAAAAUAGACUCAUUAAGGAAUCUAUAGAUAUAAAUUAUAACUCCUUAAUCCCUUUUGUACAAUUUUUAAUGAAUUUCUAAAGUCAAAACAGGGGACUUCAAAAUCAUUCUAACCCUAUCUCACUAAAAUUCAGAUAUCUAAGAGUAUAUAACUCUUUUUCUUACUCUAUUUCUUUCAUGUGAAAUUAGACUCAUUUAGAUUUAAUUUCAUAUCUCACUCAGCUUCUAAUUCAAUUUCUACCAUUUUUUAUGAUUUUUCAAAGUUACAUCAAUGCUGCUGUCCAAGAACUGCUCCAUUGCAAUUUUUUUAAAAAAAUCAAUAUAACCCCUUUAUAAUUAUCUAACCUUCCCUGCAAAUUUCAAAUCACAACCAAUUUCAGUAUUUCAACUACUUCACUUGAAUACUAAUGAAGUUCAACCAAUCAACCAUGUCAAACUAAAAACAUGUAUUUUUCAAUGUCUAACAUAACCAUCACAUCCAAUUUUACUUUGCAUACUUAGUCAUUCAUUCUAUUACUUUUUACUUCAAUUCCCUAUACAUGCCAUAUAAAUCCAAAAAGUUAUUUAACAAAAUCUACCGGAGUAUACCUGGAUAGUGUGAUUCUCGAUGUAGAUCCGAUCCUCUGAAUGUAUAAAUACGUUAAUCUACAAAAAACAAUAAACACACACAUGUAAGCUUAUAGAAAAGCUUAGUAAGUUCAUAGGCAUAAAACAUAAAUCUUACCAAACAUUUGUACACUUAUACAAUAUACACCAUUACUAAGUUUACCUGUCAACCACAAUCUUUGGUGAGUUCCUUGGUAUAAACUCACUACUACUUAUUCUUUUACCAUAAUUCCUUUGGGCCCAUUUGUCACUUACCAUCCUUGAUCAAAAUUAAGGAACGGUUACGGAAAAUUGAGUUCUUCACUUUCACUUUGCCAUAAUAUAACUAUGGUCUUACUUAUGAUCACUUAUCAUUUGUCCCUGAUCAGAUAAGUGUAGCUAAGCUACCACUUAUCACUUUGUCACUUGAUCAGAUAAGUAUAGCACUUAUCACUUUUUCACUUGAUUAGAUAAGUAUAGCACUUAUCACUUUUUCACUUGAUCAGAUAAGUGUAGCUAAAGCUACCACUUAUCACUUUGUCUCUUGAUCAGAUAAGUGUAGCACUUAUCACUUUUUCACUUGAUCAGAUAAGUGUGGCUAAAACUACCACUUAUCACUUUAUCUCUUGAUCAAAAGUACUCAAAUUUGGCGUUCCGCUUAAUUUGAUCAUUUAUUCGAUUUUUGCAUUUUUAUUUUACUCUCAUUUCAACACUAAAUAUAUUUCAUCAUACAUUAUAUAAUUCAUGAAAUUAACAUUUAAUCAUUAAAUUUCAGCCAUAUGAACUUACCUAGGUCGAUUUACAGAAUUAGUAAAAGUUCAGGGACUAAUCAACUACUUUUUCUUUUCCUCGGCUUGCUUCGGGUUCUCGAUCUAAACAAAAAUUUAUUCAUUCAUCAGCAUAUAAUUCUAUUCUAAUUCAUUUCACAAUUUAUGCCAUUAAAUUUUCGAAAUUACACUUUUACCCCAAACUUUACAGUUUUUACAAUUUGGUCUCUACUCAAUUAACCCCUCAAUUGAUCUAAUUUUUCUCAAUUAACAGCUUUUCCAACUAUUUUAGACUACUUUAUAGCCUUUCAUAUUCAAAACCGUAACACCAAACCUUAAUUCUCAACUUUUUCACAAUUAGGUCUCUAAAAUCAAUUUCUAUCAAAAUUACUUAAUAGAAUCAUCAUAUAACAAAAUUAAAGCUUUAACUCCAUGUUUAUUAAUCAUAAAAAUUCAUUACUCAUCAAUGAUAACUUUCAAAAUCAUCCAUGAGAUCAAAAACUAAUGAAAUAAUUAGUUGGACCUAUUUGUAAAAGUAUCAAAAUCACAAAAAUUAGAAGAAAUAAUCAAGAAUUAAUCUUACAUGAUUCAAAUAUAUGAAAAAGCAGCUUGUUUCAGACCUCAUAUGGCGUUUUUGCUGAUAAAUUGUGAAGAGAUCUCUAGAUUUUUCACUUUUGUCUUUUUUUUAUAUGUUUAAUUUGUUAAGUUUCCAAAUUUGCCCCUGUUUCUCCUUACAUUCUGCUGAUUUUUCUUACCCAACCGUCCAGCCCAUAUAAUUUGGGCCUAAUUGCCUUUUAAAUCCCUCCUUUUUAAUCACUUAAGCUAUUUAAUCACAAUUUAACAAAUUUUAUACUAUUUUGAAUUUAGUCCUUUUUAGUUAAUUAACUAUCUGAACGUUAAAAUUUUAUAACGAAACUUUAAUACCAACUCAAUGACACUCUAAAAAUAUUUAUAAAAAUAUUUAUGGCUCGAUUUAAAAUCUUUGAGGUCUCGAUACCUCGUUUUUUAUUUUAAUUAUUUUAAUAUUUAUUCCUAGUACACUAUUCACUAUUUCAAAAAUUUUCCUAACUUCACAUUUACUUAUUCUUACUAAAUUAAUAAUAUUUUCUACUCAUUUUUCAGAUUUAGUGAUCUCGAAUCACCAUUCCGACACCACUGAAAAUUCAGGCCAUUACAAUUAAAGGGUAUCUACAAAUUAAAUCUCUAAGAUUACAAAAUCAUAUCUUCUAAGAUUGUAUAUAUCAUAUCUAAGAUUGCAUAUAUCAUAUCUAAGAUUGCAUAUCAUAUCUAAGAUUGUAUAUCCUCGAAAAUUAUGUUUCCAUAUGUGAGCCCGGGCUAAAAUUGGGUAUUACAUUCAUUACAUGAGUUUUUUGAAGGACAAGCUCAUUUUUGAGGAUGUGAAAUAUUAUGCUCUAACCCAUUGGGUGUGACAUUUUCUCUCUCCGAAAUAAGAGGAUUUUAACAUGUAAUUUGAUUUAUACAAGUUUUUUUAAUACAAUGAUCGUAUUUUAAAAUCUUUGCACAUUUUUGAUAUUAAUACACUAAUUAAUUAACAAGGUACCAAUUUUGGGCGUGUCGAGGGUGCUAACCCUUCCUCGUGCGUAACCGACUUUCGAACCCGUUUUCUGGAUUUUAUAAGACCAAAAACUAUCGUUUUAGUAAAUUUAAAUUUUUAUUAAAAUGAUUUAAUUAUGAGGUGAUCCGAUCACACCUAAAUGAAAAGGAUUGGUGGCGACUCCAUUUUCGUUUCUUUUUUAAUUUAAGUCGAUCCCCUUUUUUCAAAAAAUAAUGGUUUUGACAGUUUGGUCCAAUAAUUUUGUCGAAUUGAUAGUUAAUUAAAGUACAAGAUUUAUCACUAUAGAUUUUUAAAUGACCAAAGGACCAAUAGAGAAAUUAGAUCAAUUUUAAAUGGUCAAACGGUGGUGUUGGAUGACAAAAUCCACUAUCUUAGACAAAUCAUGCUUAUGGUUAAUUAAUUAAAGUUUAAUUAAAAUAAUUAAGAUUAAUUAAAAAUUAAACUAAGUAUAAAAGACAAAAUUAAAAGGAAAAGAAAGCCAUUUUCUAUUCUUCUUCUUCUCCGUUGAAUGCAAUAAGAAAGAAUAGGGUUUGAGCUUUCAAACUUUUGGCUUUGAUUUGGUGAGCUCAAUUUAGUCAUUUUCUUGUAAUUGUUAUGUUUUUGAGGUCAUGAGAGCUUGAUUUAGCUAGAAUGUACCAAUUUACAAAACUGUUAAAGUUUUUUAAAGUUUCUAUUAUUGAUUUCUUGAAGAAAUUGCUGUUAUAUUAUUAGAUUUUAAGCUUAGAUGUGAAAAAAGAUUAGAUUGUAAUGUUCAAUUGUUGGUUUUUGAACAUAAGAACUAAAGUGUAAAAAUUAUGAAAUUGAUGUGAAAUUUUUGUAAUAAUAGAUAAUAGAGGGUCAUAAAAGGAUGUGAUUGAGAUUGAUUUCAAAAUUGAAGCUCAAAAUUGAAAGAUAUUGCUUUUUUAGUUUUAUGGGCUAAAUUGAAUAAAAUGUAAAAUUUUAGUGGUUUUUGUAAAAUGAAAAGAAACUGGUUCAUGCAUAAUAUGGGAUGAUAUAAAAUGUUUUGUAUUGAUAAAUUGAAUUAAAUAAUUGUAUAGAUCGAGAAUUGAACCAAAUUAGUCCUUAAAGUCUUAAUUAUUGUUGUUUUGCCAGGUAAGUUCAUAUGGAACUUACUAAAUUAUUUGUUGAAUUGUAUUUGGUUCAAUUGUUUGUUUAUAUUGAAGUGAAUUUGUGGAAAUUGGCAUAUUUGGCUAUUUACGAACUGAACUGUAAAACGUGAAAAUGUUGGUUAUACGAUAGGGUACAAGGUAUUCAUAUGAAUGUUACAUGUUUAUAGGCUUUCUAUGACAUAUGUAUUCUAAUAAAAGGUUUGAAAUGAUAUGAUUACGAAAAUGAUGUCGUGUAAACUUAGUAAAAGAUUAGCAUACGUAUGACAUGCCAUUAGGGUCAAAUAUGAAAUUGAUCAAGGAUUUACAUGGUUAUAUGAUAUCUAACAUUUGUUGUGGAUUCUCGAUUUAUACGUAUCAUUGGUUUCACCUGGACUAGUAACUUUGAUAUGAUGUCAGCUUGUAUGAGCAAAUUCAUAAAUGUCAGCUUGUGUGAGCAACCCUGAUCAUUGUCAACUUGUAACAUCCUGAAUUUUGGAGGUUAAAAGAACCAAGCUAGGCUUGAGAGGUAAAGCUUUCGAUUGGGCUUAUAUGUUUUUCUGAGUGUUUUCAGAACAUGAAGGAGUCUGGUGGUUUAGCGGUUAGAUGUUUAGCAUACCCUUGUUCCUGUGUUUGAAUCCUCGUGUGUGUAAAGUAAAAUUUUUUUUGAUUUUUUAACCUAAUUUUAAAGAAAAUCUGAUGGGUUAAAGUAUUGUUAAAUUUUUAUUUUUUUGUAAUUGUAUUUUAAAUUUAUUGUUAUUAAAAGAAGGAAAAAAAACAGUUUCCUAAUUUUAUUCUCCCACGUUACCCUUGUAUUUUUCCUUCAUUAGUUUCUUUCUUUUUACAAUGCAAUUUCAUAUUUUGGUUUUGUUUUCCAUAGUGUUUCUUUCUGUCACCAUUUUCCUUGAUUUUUUACUUUUACCUAAUUGUUCCACAGUUUUUAUAAUCCAAAGUUCUAAUAAUUUGAGCCGCCUCAUUUGUUCUCUUGUUUUCGUUUAACCAAGUGUUGGAAAAGAAGUGUAGAGUAAGUGUUGUUCUUAUUGGUUUUACAUUAGUUUCUUUAUUUCUUUUAUAUUGGUAUGAUCAAAAUUCUUACGGGUUAAGUAUGGUUAAAAAAUCAAGUUUUCAGAUUGGUAAUGUAUAGGUGAAUUGAUUGUUCCGGGUGCUUGGAAUCGUAAUUUCAGGUGUGUUUCCUAAACUUAUGCAAAUUAGGGUAUGAUUUAGUGUUGAAAUUCGUGAAAUGCAGUAAGAUUUGAAGUGCUUUCGGGGCCACACAAGCAUGUACCGCACACGGGCGGUCUACACAAUCAUGUGCCGCUGUAGAAACUAGGGUAAUUCGUUAGUCAUACAACCUAUAGGGCGAGCCAUAUAGGCUGGCCACACUGCCAUGUGAUCCCUGUAAGGAAAUUUGUCAUUUUUUACACGGGCAUGUGCUUCUGUCACACAGCCGUGUAUCUCAUAGGGUAUGAUACCAUUUGAGACAGUGGGGGCAACACAAGCACCAAAGACAACUCACAAAUUCUUUAAUUUGAGACAUUCAAAGCUUCAAAAUGUGGUUGAGAAGAUAUUUGUUGCUCUAGAAAAGCAUUUCCCAAGUUAACAACAUCAUCUUAGUAUAGCAUAAAAAUGAAUGUUAGAUUGUACUAACAUGUUAAAUUUUUCAUAACUUCAACCAUAGGGGGAUUUGAGAGUACAUGGAAGAAGGAGAUUUUGAUAAUUUUAAUGAUGCAGGUUCAAAUUCAGAAGAUGAUGAACUCAGCCAAGGACCAAUAUAUUAUGAUAAGUAGCACAUGUUAAAAAUUAAAAAGAGAAUAACCCAAAACAAUUAAAUAAAAUUGCAUAUGUUGUUUAUUUUUCUUGUUAUUUUUAUUAGUAAUCAUAUUAUCAACUACUCCUUUAAACGAACAUAAAUAUAUGAUGAUUUGAUUUUAAUUAUUGUUACUUGAUUAGAAAUUAUUUUUAUCAUACUAAUAAUUUUUAUAGUAAUUAAUAUUUUAAAAAUAUAAAAUAUGUAACUGAAUAAUUAUAACUUAUACUAUCAGACAUGACAUAAGAAAUUAUGAUAUAACUACACUUUAUCAACCGAACACGUUUAAAAAAAUACAUUUUUUUAUAAUUACAAAAGAAUAUAAUAGUUACUUUUUCAAUCAAAUACUCUAUUGCGUGGAAACAAACCUAAAUAACUAUUUUAGUCGAAAUAGCGUAAAUUCCAUGCGGUUGAACGUUGAAACUUUGACAAGUGUCGCUUUACUCUUCAGAAUGGCAAAGUCGGGACAAAAACAAGCGAUAUUUUACCUAUUAUUUGAUCGCAUCAUUUAUAGGAAAUCUAGGGUUCUAAUCAUCCUUUUCCUUUUUAUAAUAAAUACUAAUAACUUGUAUAUAUAUAAUAAUAUUUUAAUCUCGAUAAGCUAACAUUAAUUUUUCCGCAGAAUUUUCUAAAUAGCAUAUCAUUUGUUUUUUUGUGAAAGCACAUGUUUUUAAAAGGAAAUAGCAGACAUUUUUUACUUGAACAAAACAGCUGAAAGUUUAAGGCGUUUUGCUUGUGGCUACGGAUGUUAACGGGGCGGGGAACUUUUACCCAACCCAACCCUGACCCAGAUUUUGAUGAACUCUGAUUUGACUGAUCCAAAUUAAAUUGAUUGUUUUAUUUUUUAUUUUAAAGCAAAUAAGAUCAUUUCUCUCUUUUUUGUAUUUAUCAGGAUAGAAUUUUCAAAAUUUUCGUUAUCUAUUAGUUGUAUUUAUAUGAUAACAAUAAUUUUCAAAAAAUUAUUUUAUUUCUUUAGAGAAAUAGAAGUGUCAUAAAUCCCACAUUAGUUAAAUAACACUCUAAUAGCUAACACUUACAUUAUAAAUAAGUGUCAGUUUUCUCAUUAUUUUUAUGAGCUCUUCAGAGUUUUUUUAUUUGAAAUAAAAAAAUUCACAAGAGAGUAUUUAUAGUUUAAAAUUGUUUUUAUAUCCCUCAUUAUUUUUAUGAGUUUUUUUCUUAAAGUUUCUUCAUUUGAAGAAAUUCAUGAAAAAUGAUUUAUAGUUUGAAGUUAUUUAUAUAAAAAAAAGAGAGCUUAUAAUUUAUAGUUAUUUCAUACAUAAUAUGAUAUAUAUAUAUUGUAACACCCCAAAUAACAUAGGGUUAGAAUUAAUAAAAUCACUAAGAAAUAAGCCUUAAGUCUUGAUGCCUAAGAGCUUAGGAUACUCCUUAGAAAACCAAGGUUCAAACCCACUUUUCUUAUUUUCUUCUUUCUCUUUUUUAGCGGCUAAGGAACAAACUCAAUCUAGUAUACGCAUUAAGUAUGGUAGAAAUAAGCUAAGAAUGGACAACAACACAAGUGGUAAAGCUUUUCAUUUUCCCAUUAUCCUUAGGUUUAAAUCAUGCCAAACUUAUUCCUCAUUUCCAUUUCUUUUCUUAUUUUCAGCAAAAAGGGUAAAUUACCCUACAACCCCUUAAAAGUUUGAAAACCUAGCUAUUUAAUCCCUUUCCUAAUUACAUUAGGAUUUGAUUUACUUCUUUCAUUCCAAUUAGAAUUUCCCACUCUAUUCUCUAUAUAUCUUCAUCUUUUCUUUCUCCCACUUUUCUUUCACAUUAUUUUGCUAUUGAAAGUUAUUUCUUUGCCCACCCCAAAUCGAAAUCAAUCUCCACUAAAAUGUUUUCCUACCGGUUGAUGAAUUUAUCAACGGUAACCCUCAAAAUCUCAUUAAAGGUUGGUAAGUAUUCUCAUUUCCAAUCAGUAGAAAUCAUAAAUCCUAGAAUAACAUCGUCCUUGUUAAUCAUUCAACUCGAAUACGAAUCUUUUACGAGUAUUCUCGAAAAUCUUGAUAAUUUUGAUUAAUCUUGGAAACUAUUAAUGAUUCUUGCGUAAAUAUUGUCUGAAGGACCCAUUCCAGGUACCCCAGAUCAAAUCUACGCACAAGGAACGACGUUCGAGAUCUUGGUGAAAGGUGUGCGUUCUUUUACGAGUAAAUCAGGCAAAAUUGUGACUAGGAUAGGGCCACAUGGGCAACCAAAUGACCAUGUCCCCCUGCAAACCCUAUGAUAGUUCGUUUCUCACACAGGCAUAACCCUUACACACAAGCGUAUGGACCACACGGCCUACAACAUGGCCAUAUGCGCUGGAAACCCUUGUGUAGUUCGUAAACCACACAGCUUCAGUCUGUUACACGGCCUGACCACACAGUUGUGUAAACCUUCCGCAUAGCCUAAGGCAUCUCAUGUUGCCUUGCCACAUGGCCAUGUGCCCUUAUUUUUUAAAUUUUACAAUUUUGCCAAAAUUUUGUGAUUUGCCUAGUUUAGUCCCUGAUUAAUCCCUGAACUAUUUUUAGUGUUUAAUUUUAUUUAAUUAAGUCAUUGAUAGUAUGAGUUAUGUUAGAAUCUAUGUUUUGAUGAACUGAAAUCAUAUGCUAAUUAUAUAUACUUGCAUGAAUUGUGAACAACUUAGAUGUCUGUUGUAUUGUAUUUGUGAUUGUACGUAUAGUAUACCCUGUACCGUUAAACCGUACACAGAGAAAGUAUGACUUCAGAUACUAGUUGACUUGUCACAAGCAUAUCAAUUGCUACUGAAUCGAACUGCAACAAGCAUAUUGUUUGCUAUUGUAUUGCUUCGUUAAAAGUGUAUUAAAUGCUACCAGAUUAAUUUCUUUAAUCUAAAUAAAAUAAACCAAUGUUAUCUUUCUAAUUGUUUCUUCUCCACCGAUUUGGACAACAACAAAAAACACUAUUGUUUAGCUUUAGGUUUCGGCAAGCUUAACUCAAUUUGCAUGGUAUGUAUUCAAGCCCCAUUUUUAGUGAUUUUUAUGUUUUUGAGCUUGUUUUAGCUUAGUUUAGCUAGCUCGGGGGUUAAUUUGUAAAAUUGUUAUAGGUUGAGGGAUUUACCAUUGAUGAAUUUGAAUGAGUUUUGAGUUUUUUUUUAUAGAUGAUUAAGCUUGAUUGUCAACUAAACUUAUUUUGUUAAGUGAUUUUUGGUGAAUUUAGGGUUAGGGGGUAAAGUGUUAAUAUAAUAAAAAUUCAAUGUUAAUAGUGUGAAAUAGUAGGAAUUUUGGGCUGUACAAAACCCCCCGUAAAAUUGGAAAACAUAGUAUUUAGAUAAAAAUGGUGAAUUUGCAUGUUACGGAUUUAUGGAUUAAAUUGUAUAAAGUUAAAGUGUUAUGGGUAAAAUUAUAGUUUUUCAUUUAUAUGGGUUAUAAGCAAGAAUUAAUGAUAUUAAGUUAUUUGUUUACUUUAAUUGAAUGAAUUUUUUAUUUAGAUCAAGAAAAGAGUCAACCGGAUUUGAAUCGCUGAAAAGCCAAAGUUUCAUAUCAGUCUUGAUUUAGUUUUUACAAUCCAUUGUAGUCGAGGUAAGUUCAUACUAUAAUUGUGUUAAGUUAAAUUUCUUAAUAUUUGUGUUAUUCAAAUAAUUGUGGUGUUUGUUAUUUUGAAUGUCGAACGAUGAAAAGUUUAUUAUGAGAUUGAAAUGUAUUGGAGAUAGUGAUUCAGGCUUUGUGCCUAGCAGGCUUUGUGCCAGUGUAUUGAUUUAGACUUUAUGCCAAGAAGGCUUUGUGUCGGUGUAUUGAUUUAGGUUUUGUGCCUAGCAGGCUUUGUGCCGGUGUAAUGAAUCAGGCCUUGAGUCUAGCAGGCUUCGUUCUGGUGUUGAAUCAAGUAACUUAUACUGAAAAUAAUAUGACAAGUAUUUGAUGAUAUGUUGGUAAGUUUACGGGUAAGUAACGUUUAAUGAAAAUGUAUGAAUAAGUUAAGUGUUGAUCAUGGUUUAAUGAAACGGUAAAUCGAUAUGUGCAAAUGAGUGGAAAAAAUUAUUAAUCAAACAUCUGAGAAGGAUGGAUGAAUGUAAUUAGCCUCAUGAUUCAUGUUAUGUUUUCAUGAUGUUAAAAUUCAAGUUGUCUGGUAAUGAUGUGGAUUGCGGUGAAUAGGAAAGUCAAGUACAUAUAUAAGUUAUUGAGCAUGAAUGAGUAAAGAAAUGUUGAGGAAUUGAGAGUUUAAGUUUCUUCUAUACGAAUUUACUAAGCAUUAGUUUGUUACGCCGUUUUCUUUUGUUUUGUAGAUCGUUGGAAGCUCGAUAGAUUGAAGCCUCGUCAAGGACUUAUCACACUAUCCAUAAGUCAUUUUGUUAGUUUUGAUGUAUUUUGAUUUUGGUUAUAAAUGACAUGUAUAGAAUUAAAUGUGAUAGAUGUUGUGAGUAUGUUAUUUGGCUCACUUGGUUUGAUUGUGUCUUUUGAGUAUAAGCUGAUGAAUUUGUAAUGCUUAUUAAGAAUGUGCUUUUGGUCACUUUUGAUGAUAUAUAAAUGCAUGACUUAUGGUAUGUCUUUAAGUAUUUGAAAUGAUGAAUUUUUACACAAGUUAUUGUAACAGCCAUUGUUUUUUUAUCUAACAUUUAAAUCUAUCAUUAUAUCAAUAUACAUGUUUUUACUACGUUGUAAACAUAUUAUUUAUAUUAAAUUGUAGCACAUUCAUAGUGUGGGUGACAAAAAAAUUAUAAUUAUAUUUGAAGUCUUUAUAUAAAAAAUAAAUGAAAAUUUAAUUGAAACGAUAAAGUUAAAAUAUUAAAUAUCAUAAUGUUUUAAGUUCAAAUCUUAUCAUAUGUGUUAGAGUACUGUCAUAGUAAAAGUUGUUGUUCAGUCAGUUAGCAACUAAGCAGUUGCUGAGUCAGUUAGCAGUUUAAAAGAUAGUUACAGCAGCAGUUAGUUUGUUAACUCUCUUGCUCUCGUCUUUGUAUAAACACAUGCAAGUCAGCAUGUUCAGAAUGAAUCAAGAAAGUAUUGUUCUUUCUAUUUUCUAUCUCAGUUUAAUAAUCUUACAUGGUAUCAGAUGUAAGUCUUUCCUGGUUUUUCUUUCUCUACUGUGCAGUUUGAGUAGUUGAUAUGGCUGCCAACUCUUCUGACGGAGCGCUUGAUAGUCGGUUCUUUUCUACAAAGCAAAUAAGUGUGCUGCUUGACGAUAACACUUACUUGCUAUGGCGCCAGCAAGUCCUUUUGGCUGUAAAAGCGCAUAAACUUCAAUGGUUCUUGAAUGAUCAAUAGGAUCCGCCUACUCAGUAUGUUACUGAUGAUAGUGGUGGUUUGCAUGAGAAUCCAGAGUUUGCACUUUUUGAGCAACAGGAAAGUGCACUUGCGUCGUGGUUGCUUUCCUCCAUUAGUCAAACGGUGCUUCCCCAUCUUAUUGGCAUGGACACUAGUGCCAAGAUCUGGAAUGCGGGUGUUGCUUUGUUUGGUAGUAAAACAACUUAUAAACUGAUGGCCUAUAGAAGAGCUUUGCAUUCUCAACGCAAAUGUGAGUUGAGCAUGAAAGAGUUUUUGAUGAAGGUUAAAAGUUGCUGUGACAACCUCGCUAGUUGUGGUGAAAUCAUUGGAGAGCAUGAGCAUGUUACCGCGAUACUCAAUGGUCUUCCUCCGGAAUAUGAUUCGGUCAUCACUAUCAUUACCGCGAGUCAGAUACCCUACAAAGUCCAAGGGGUAACCUCCAUGCUUCUUGACACUGAAGCUUGGCAACAGGUAGUAAGCAAUGAGAUUUCCAGUUCUGCAAACAUGGUUUCUUCUGAAUCUUCAGAUGCUUCUAGUUCGUUACCGGCCUAUCGACUGUCAUCUUCAACUCGGGGACAUGGGCGAGGGCGUUCGUCCAACUCAAGAAUUCAAUGUCAACUUUGUGGAAAAGCUGGUCAUCCUGUUGAUCGAUGUUAUCAUCGUUUUGACUCAACCUACAAAAGUAGCAACUACAGGCCCCUUCCACAAGCAAAUGCGUUCUUGGUUGGUUCCAGUCCUCCUCCACCGUGGUUUUCCUCUCCUACGCACAACUCUCCGUGGUCUUCCCCAGGUUGGUGUUUUUCUAAUCCCUUACCUGUCUGGCCUAACCCGUUUGUUGGUAGUACUCCGCAACAGGUCAAUAUGCCACAACAGGUCAGUAUGGCUCCCUCAGGUGCAACACAACCUCAGGCAUAUGUUGCCACUCCUGAAACAUAGGCUGAUAAUGCAUGGUAUCCGGAUUCUGGUGCCACGCAUCAUCUUACAAAUUCAGCUACCUUGGUUGGUGAAAGUGGAUCAUAUAAAGGACCAGGUAAGGUGUUUGUAGGCAAUGGUUCAGCAUUACCUGUUUUGUGCACUGGGCAGUCUUCGUUACUCACACGAUCUCGACCGUUGUACAUGCAAUCGUUACUACUUGUACCUGGCAUCACUAAGAAUCUCUUAUCAGUGUCAAAGUUUGCUAAAGAUAAUGAGGUAAUGUUUGAGUUUUUCCCUUCUCAGUGUCAGGUGCGUGAUCUGAGGACCAGAGAAGUGCUUCUUCAAGGGUCAGUGCACCAUGGUUUAUAUCGGCUUCAGCUCAACAACUCCCCUGUCACUAGUCCAUUGGCUCCUACUGGUCAGUGUUUUGCUACCAGCUCCAGGCUUCCUAUUAGUGUCUGGCACUCUAGACUAGGCCAUCCAUGUCGAGAUACGCUUACAAAGGCAUUACUCCGAUGUAAUAUACAGUUUACAGAUAGUAAUAAAGUUGUUGGUUGUGUUGCUUGUCAUUUGGGUAAAGCAAGUAAGCUUCCAUUUUCAAAGUCGAAUACAGAAUAUACUUCACCCUUACAGUUAGUGGUAGCUGACGUUUGGGGACCUGCACCUGUUGUAUCUAAUGGUUUUAGAUACUAUGUUGCCUUCACUGAUGCGUAUUCACGCUACUCAUGGCUUUAUUUUCUGAAAAAUAAGUUUGAUGUACUUACGGUGUUCCCACAGUUUCAUCUUCAAGUUGAAAGGAUACUUGGUACAAAACUCAAAGUUCUUCAAACAGAUGGGGGUGGGGAGUUUCAAUCCUUGAAGAGUUAUUUGUGUCAGCAUGGGAUCCUACAGCGGCUCACCUGUCCAUAUACAACAACUCAAAAUGGGCUUGUAGAACAGAAACAUUGACUGGUUGUUGAAACCGGUCUGUCCAUGCUAGCUCAAGCAAACAUGCCCGUGGUGUUCUAGAAUGAGGCGUUUUGCAGUGCAGUCUUCUUGAUUAAUAGGUUACCCUCCAAACCUUUAGCUGGUAUAUCUCCAUAUGAAAAAUUAUUUAAAAUCAAACCAGACUACUCAUUUUGUCGAAUCUUUGGCUGUCUUUGCUUCCCUAACCUUAGACCAUUCAAUAAAACAAAGCUGCAGUUUCGGUCAGCCCCUUGUGUUUUCCUUGGCUACUCCCCGUUAUACAAAGGCUACAAGUGUCGAGACCCUACUGGAAAAAUCUACAUCUCUCGUCAUGUCACGUUUAAUGAGACUAUUUUUCCCUAUAAAACACAUAGGUCAACAGUCAGUUCCUUUCCUACUUUCCCUCAGAAAAAUGUAAAACUUCUCGUCAUACCUCCUAGCACUGUAGCUCACUGUCGCGUCACAUCCAAUGUCAGCUCCACUAAUCCAUCCCCACCACCUGUCUCCUCCACUCCAACGCCUACAAUACCCCCUUCCCAGUCCAUAUCUUCUCCUUUAGCUUCAACCUCACCCACUUCACAGAUCAUGUCACCUAGAAACGCAUCACCUAUGCAACUCUAAUCCACCCAACCUGCACCGACAAACACUCACUCCAUGAUCACUAGGAGUAAAGUUGGCAUUUUCAAACCAAAGGCUUAUCUGAGCAUGACACCUUCUUCGACCGGUGAUGUUCCCUCUGACAUCUAUACCGCAAUGGCUUUUAAAUGUUGGCGAGUGGCGGUUCACAGUGAGUUGCAAGCCUUGUCUCGAAAUAAUACAUGGUCUUUAUGUCCUCUUCCUGAGAAUCGACAAGCAAUCGUUGCAACUGGUUAUUCAAAAUUAAAAAGAAGGCUGAUGGUUCCAUUGACAGGUACAAAGCCAGACUAGUAGCAAAAGGGUAUUCUCAACAUGCCGGUCUUGAUUUUCAUGACACUUUUAGUCCGGUUGUUCGAGCCUCCACCAUUCGCACUAUUCUUGCGUUAGCUGUUAUGCAAGAGUGGGUUGUACGUCAAGUUGAUAUCAACAAUGCCUUCCUUAAUGGCGAGCUUACUGAGGAAAUCCAUAUGGCACAACCCCCUAGUUUUGAAGUCUCGGGUGCAUCUGGUGAACCACUUGUGUGUAAAUUAAAUAAAGCUCUCUAUGGCUUGAGACAGGCUCCUCGAGCGUGGUUUCAAACUCUCAAGCAGUAACUUGUCACUCAGCUUGGCUUUCAGGCAUCCAAAGUUGAUUCAUCUUUGUUCAUUCGAGUGGCUGCAGGAAAUUGUCUGCUGCUUAUGGUAUAUGUCGAUGACAUAUUGCUCACUGGUACCAGUAGCCAAGAUAUUGAUGCCAUGGUUCACCAACUUCACACCAAAUUUGCUCUUAAGGAUAUGGGACUACUUAGUUUUUUUUUGGGAAUUGAUGUUCAGUGAACACCCCAAGGAAUGUUGCUCAGUCAAAAGAAGUAUGUUGCUGAUUUGCUCCUCAAGACUGGUAUGCUCGGUGCAGCAUCUACACCAACACCAAUGGUUAGCACGCCCAAGCUAGUGGCCUCCGAUGGAAGCCCUCCCUUUUCAGAUGGUCAUCUAUAUCGAAGUACUGUGGGAAUGUUACAAUAUGUAUGUAUCACACAACUAGAUUUGGCGUUCUGUGUAAACAAUAUGAGUCAGUACAUGAGUUCUCCUAGUAUUACUCAUUGGCGAGCUGUAAAACGUGUGUUAAGGUAUCUAGCUGGCACUACAGAUCAUGGUCUGUAUCUUGCAGCAGGUUCAUUAGAGUUGGUAUGCUAUUCUGAUGCUGACUGGGCCUCAUCCAUUGAUGAUCGACGGUCUACGUCGGGGUAUGUGAUAUACUUAGGAUCUAAUCCGGUUACCUAGUGCUCAAAGAAACAGUCGGUGGUAUCCAGGUCAUCUGCUGAAGCAGAAUAUCGUAGCCUCGCCAACUGCGUCUCUGAACUGCUGUGGAUUCAACAAUUGCUGAAUGAAGUCAGAAUGCCUCUGUUAAAGCUACCAACUGUCUGGUGUGAUAAUUCUUCAGCAGUUGCAAUAGCUGAAAAUCCUACACAUCAUGCUAGAAUGAAGCAUGUGGAAAUGGAUCAUCAUUUUGUUCGAGAAAAGUUACUUGCUAGAAUGUUGCAGGUCAAUUUUGUUCCCUCUGAUCAACAGGUUGCGAACGUUCUCACUAAACCAGUUACUCCUAAGUUGUUUGCAUCAUUUCGACGUGCACUACGAGUGGUGUCAUUAAAAGAAAUGAGUGAUCAAAAAUAAAAAAUGCUGAGGGAAUGUUAGAGUACUGUCAUAGUAAAAAUUGUUGUUCAGUCAGUUAGCAACUAAGCAGUUGCUGAGUCAGUUAGCAGUUUAAAAGAUAGUUACAACAGCAGUUAGUUUGUUAACUCUCUUGCUCUCGUGUUUGUAUAAAUACAUGCAAGUCAGCAUGUUCAGAAUGAAUCAAGAAAAUAUUGUUCUUUCUAUUUUCUAUCUCAGUUUAAUAAUCUUACAAUAUGUACAUAUCUUUUAAAAGGUAUUAUAUAAAAUAUAAAAGGAUAAACACCCUCAUAAUAAUAUUUAUUAUUUUAUCAAAGAAUGGAGUUUUGAUGAUUUACUAAAUGAAUUGGGACUUAGUUGUCAGAAAGAAAUUGUUCCACAAGCGUAUAAAUAUUUAGUUACUUUAUUGUAUUUAAUUAAUAUAAUUGUUCUUAUAAACAAAUAUAUCUAUGGUAAAUGUUUCCAGAUUGUGUGAACACCAAUUUUAUGCUUCCACAUCGUGAAGUGGCAGCAUAAUAAGUAGGGGAAGUUAACAUUUGAGAAGGUUUGAACGACCUAAAAAGUCUUAGAUCGAAAUCUAAAAAGUCAAAGUAUGAUUGGUGUAACAUCCUCUAUCUCAUUCUAUCGCUAGAUCCAAGUAUCGGAUGCUACACUAACCAAAAUGAUUUAACACAAUUUUUGCUUCUAGUUUAAUUACAUACUUAAAUAACUUGAAUUUAAAAAUCUAACUAAAGUUACAACUCGUAUUAAAUUAGUAAUCAAAAUUUAAGACUUUGACUCCCACAGUCAUUUACAAAUUUUGGACAAAGACUCGAUAUCAUAUAUAGACAACUUAAACCCUGAGGCGAGGCCUCUACUAGUACCCCUCUAUACACACGAACAGCUAUCACAUUUCACCUAGUUCCUAGCGAAGUCUAGUUUGAUCAUUUUUUAUUUCUGAAAUCAUUAAUUAUCCUACAUUUAAACAGAAAUUUUACAGGUUCGAAAGAACUUAGUGAGAUCUACAUAUAGAAUUUAAGAAUUAAACCCCCUAAAUUUUAAAGGAGAAUUCAUGACAUACCCUCGAUGUAGUUGAAAGAAAUCAUGUAAAAAUAUAUUUAUAAAAAAUUGAUAUAAUAAACAAAUGUAACUUUGGAUGUGAUGGUAAGGUUGAAUUGCUAAAAAUCAUGAUAUCUUAAGUUUAAACCCCAUAAAAUGUUAAUGUCCUUCAAAAUUUAUGUUGAGAAACACGUUAAAGUUAUAUUUAUUACUUUAUAAAAAAAUGAGAAUUUUGUCAAUUUUUAAUUGAGUUGAUAUCUAAUUGACUCGUAGCAUCAACUUAAUCAAGAGCUUAAAUAUGGUAAAGAUGUAAUCAACAAAACAUAUUUCCUCAAAUUUUUGGUUGAGGAUAUGCUUAUUGGAAAGUAUUUUAAAAAAUAACUUUUAUAAAAUUUUAAUUUGGUUCUUAAAUUUUAAAAUAUUUUAAUUGAGUCUUUAAAAAUAUUAUUAUAUAGAUCACAUUCGUUCAUCAACUUAUCGUUAGCUUAAGAAUUGAAUGCUAGCUUGAGUAUGGGCUUUUUUACUCAAAUAAUUUAAAAAAUAAAUAAUUACGAAAAUAGGCAUUUGUUACAUUGUUCUGACGAUGUCGCUUGACAUAUUGACAGCACCAGGCUGAAAUGCGAUGACCUAAAAUAUUCAGGGACCUGAUCUAUAUAUUUCCCAUUUUGAUUGGUAGCUGGAAAAAAAGCUUUACACGGUGACGGCACCAAACUUUAAAUAGGGUAAAUUGCUUCGUAAACCCCCUUGUUUAUUAUUUUCUUUCAUUCCCCUUUAACAUUAAAAAUAGAGAGGAUUCUUCUUACCAAUUAGUCCAAAAAGUUUUUUCUACCAAAAAGUAUUUUUGUAAAAAAAGUUGAUUCCAACUGGAAAUAAAUUUUACUUAUUUUUCGAAAACUAAUUUUUUUGUUUAAAUUAUGUCUGACAUAACAGUUAACAGUAUUCAUAAUAGUUUUCUUUCACUCACAUUAUAUUUGGAAACUAUAAAUUUAACUAAUAAUUAUAUUUUAUACAUAAUAAGAUUUUUCUAAAGCUUUUAUAAUUAUAAUUUUAUAUCGUGUCCGUAAAUCAAAUUGAUAAUCAAAUUAUAAACCAUAAUAGUUUUCUUUUGCUCACAUUAUAUUUGGAAACUAUAAAUUUAACUAAUAAUUAUAAUUUAUACAUAAUAAGAUUUUUCUAAAGCUUUAUAAUGAUAAUUUUAUAUCGUGUCUGUAAAUCAAUUUGAUAAUAAAAUUAUAAUUAUUUUUUGAAAAAUAAAUAAAAUUUAUUUCCAGUUGGAGUCAACAUUUUUACAAAAAUACUUUUUGGUAAGAGACCUCUCUAUUUUUUAUGUUAAAGGAAAAUAAAAGAAAAUAAUAAAUAAGGGAGGUACAUGAAGCAAUUUACCCUAUUUAAAGUUUGGUGCUGCGAGACACAUCCUUAAAGGCUUUUUUCUUUUCAGCUGCCAAUCAAAACGGGAAAUUCACAGAUCAAGUGCUUGAAGUUUUUAGAUUAUCACAUUUUAGUCUGGUGCCGCCAAAAUGUCAAGAGGCACCGUUAGAAUACUGUAACAAAUGUCAAUUUUCGUAAUUAAUCUAUUUUGCAUACAUUUUUCGUAAUUAAUUAUUAUAUUUAUAUUAUUUGAGUAAAAAAGCCAUUGAGUAUGGCAUAAAAUAGUUUUUUAUAAUAUGUAAAUUGAAAUUUAAUAUAUGGAUAACUUUGUAACAUACAUAAUAAAAAACAGAAUGAUCAAAAAAAUAAAAGGCAAACAUAAAAGAUCUAAGUUAUCUGAGAAUUAAAUUAAUAAAAAAUAAGGAAGAAUUAACCACUCCAAUAGAUCAUAUGUAGGAAAUAAAAUAUAAUAUUAAAACUUAAGUUGAUAGUUAGAAUAGGAUAUUAUAAAAUUAAAAAUGGGAAGUAAAAUUUGGAAAUAUACGAGUGUACAUCACAAAAUAAAAAAUGUAAUAGAUUUGAAGUUGGAAUGAUAAUAUUAACAAUCACUUUUUUGAUAUAUUUUAUUUCAUACGGCAUUUAAAUAAAAAUAAAAGAAAACUAAAAGUAAAUCUAUGAAUAUACUUUUAUAAUAGCACAACUUUGAUUUUAGGUGUUUUUGCGUCAACACUAAUAUGUCCGCAGCCCCUAUAUAUACUGUUAUUUUCAGCUUAAUUUCAUUUCUCUACCCAUCUCCAAUCAGAGCUCAAGGAGAGAGAAAGAGAGAGAAGAAUGGUGAGAGCUCCAUGCUGUGAGAAAAUGGGAUUGAAGAAAGGUCCUUGGACCCCUGAAGAGGAUCAGAUUCUUAUCAAUUACAUUCAACUCCACGGCCAUGGCAACUGGCGAGCUCUCCCCAAACAAGCUGGUAAGUUACUUGGUUUAAAAUCCAAACAAACAUACAUGCAACUUCAUCAUCUUGAUCAUUUGUAAUUUUAGUAUUUAUGGGUUCCGAUCUUUUUUCUCAUCUUGUUUCAUGUUUUUCUUUGGUUGUUGUUUUACUUGUCUUUUUCCAGGUCUAUUGAGGUGUGGAAAGAGUUGCAGACUACGAUGGACCAACUAUUUGAGGCCAGACAUUAAACGAGGGAAUUUCACCAGGGAAGAAGAGGAUACCAUUAUCAACUUACAUGAAAUGCUUGGUAAUAGGUAAUAUCCCUUUCUUCCUCAGAUCCAACUUUAACUUCAUCAUGACUUAAGAUCUUGACAGCCAGAUUGAUCUUCUCUUUAUUUAUAUAUAUAUAAUAAUUCAAGAUAUCGGAAUAUGCUGUUUUUUAAUAACACCCCAUCGGUCUGCUAACCAUUUUUAAUUUCUAUUUGGUUAUUAAUUAAAUAUAAGCAUAGACACGUGUGGGACUGAAAAGAUUCCUUGCCGCGAUUGUCACUAUGCUUCUUGUAAACACGAUUCAAAGUUCCCAAAAAACAAAAACACUUAAAAUAUCAAACAAGAUCAUCACUUUGGUUCCUGCACUUCAACACUAGAAAACAAACCCCAUUUUCCAUCUUUUAUUUCAUCACUGCCCCAAACCAAGAUUCUGAUUCUCGUUUUUGUUUCAGAUGGUCGGCAAUUGCGGCGAGGUUACCUGGAAGAACGGACAACGAAAUUAAAAACGUAUGGCACACCCACUUGAAGAAGAGGCUCAAACACAGCCAUGGGUCCAAUGCCAAUAACCGACAACCUAUUGAUCCUUCCAAAGACAUCAAAAGAGAACAACAACCCGUGACAGUUUACAGUCCAGUUUCCCCACCACAAUCCAGCAGCGACGUUUCCACAAGCGAAAACAACAGCAACAGCAACGCCUUCACCACCAAAACUGAAACCAACGAAGACGUCUCUGAAAUCGAUGAAAACUUCUGGUCCGAAGUAUUAUCGGCUGAUAGCUCAAGCAUGGAAGCCAAUUUCCGAGUGGUUGGUUCGGACCAAUAUUUCCCAAGCUCUCCGCCUCCUCCAUUACCAGCAUUGGAAACAGUGAAUGGCUAUGGUUCCAAUCUUUAUGAUACCGAUGCUAACAUGGAUUUUUGGUAUAUUCUUUUCACCAGAGCCGCGGAUUUACCUGAACUACCUGAAUUUUGAGUUGCCUAUUUUUGUAAUUAGCUUUAGUGGUAACCUUUUAGUUUCUUUGAUUAUUCAGAUUGGACUGGAAUAAAAUGAAAAAAAAGAAAAAUGUAUCCAUCUUGAUAUUGUCAAAACUUGCAAAUUACUCUUCCAAAAUGGAAUAAUUUGGGCGGCACUAACCAAGUGAUUGUCAAAAGCAAACUAUAAUUAAUGCGUGUGCUUGUCAAAUACAAACUCCACUUCAUUAAUUGCUAUGUUUUUACAUGUAUUCAUUAAUAUAUAUGUAUAUAGACACUAAUUAAAAUUUAUUUAAUUAUCCCCUUAAUAACCUACAAAUUACGGAUCAUAAGUUACCGGCUCGUUACCUUAAGAAAUAAAAAAAAUCAUUUAAUUAUACUUUUAUAUUUAUAUAUUUAGCCGCUAUAACAUUUCAUUAUAAUAGUCAAAUUUAUAGAGGAAUUGAUUUUUUCAUUUUAUUCCUCUAAAAUAGUUUUUUUUACUUAUAAUAACAACAUUCAUAGUUACGAAAGAUAUCCUUUAUUAAAUUAAUUCACUAUAACAACAUAUAAUCUAAGUAAAAUUAUAGCUAUUUAAUAUAAACAAGCCUAUCAAUUGUCAUUUAUUAAAUGAAAAUGAUCUUAAUUAAAAUAUUAUUUGAAUAAAAUGAUUAAAUUUUACGUAAAGAAAUCUAAUAAUUAUAUUGAAAAUAAUUUUCGAUGAAUGGAAUUAAAAAUAUCAAUUCAAUAAACAAUUAAGUUCGCUAAUUAAUAUUCUACUAUGAAUUUGGAACAUCGUAAACUUAUAAAUUGAUUACUUGAUUUUAGUAACUCAUGAUAAACUAAAUAAUUUAAUUUGAUAACUCUUGAUUAAUUGAACUUGUUAGACUUGUGAACUUUAUAAUUAAUAAUGUGAAAGAAUGUAAAAUAAAAUAUGCACAUGUUAUACGUCUUUUAAUUUUGUUGAUUUAGUUUCCACUUUCAUCAUUUGAUAAAAAUUCACAAUGUAAAUUAUACGGUAAGCUUACAACAAUUAUCUCUCUAUAACAAUAUGUUAUUACAGGUGUAUAGCAACUACCUCUUUAUAACAAGCAAAAUCUAGACAAAUAAAUACGACUAUUAUAGAGAGGGUUGACUACAUUUGUUACAUUUAAUUAAACUAACUAAAAGAGCAAGUAAUUAAAUUUCUGUACUAUUACCUUAAGUUUUACUGUUCAAAUCCUGAUGCUAACAUCUCCUUCCCUAAAUUUUAAUGCAAAUUUUGAUUGUACCAAAAUAAAUGAUUUUCUUUGGUAUUCCCUCUUUAUUAAAAUAGACGCGUUCAACAAGUUAUUUUUAAAUUUGGAAUAAUUUUGAUCACCAAAAUUUAAGAAAAGUAUUAGAUAUUAUAAUUAUUUUAGUUUAUUUUUUUAUCUAAUUAAUAUUUAGAUACUAUUCACACUUAUAUUUUGUAAUUAUUAAUUUUAAACUUACCAAAUUAAUAUUUAAAUACUGCUUUGUGUUAGUUUACAAAAUUGAACCAAAAAUGUUACUAAAUUUAUUACAUUCUAUAAAAGAAAUCAAAUUAAAAAAAAAAAAACUUUGGGGGUAACAAGAUACAAAUUUAUCUUAUUUUUAGGCACUAAAUAUAAGAUCAAAAUAAAAAUUUUAAAAACCAUAAAAGGAUUUAAAUGAAAUUUUACAAAAUUUAAAGGAGGUCGAACCCUACCGACCUCCCUAAAUUCUUCCCUGUAUAUGUUUCGAACAAUAUUUUCCUAAUAAUUUAAUGUGGAUUCUCAUUACCUCUACACUUAUUAAUAAAAAUAUUAUUGUCUUUUCUAAAUAUUUUAUUGCUGCAUUAUAAAUAUUAUCUUCUAGAAUUCAUCAAGAUACCACGGAAAUACUUAAUUUAAAUAUUGGUUGUUUAAAUGAUGAGAAAGAGGGAUGAUUUGGACUUGAAUUUUUAUAUAAAUUUAAUCAUAAAAUUAAAAUACUUUUUAGGGAAAAAAAAGUUUAACUUUGUACUUGAGCUUGAUUGUCUUGCUGCUUAGGAUUUAAUUACAUCGCUAAUCUCAAUUAAAGAAGCUUUUGAAAUGGCCACUAAUAAUUCAAUUAUUUUCUCCCCCACAGACAAAUAAAAUAUUCUAUUUAGUUUCUCUUAUUUUAUUAAUCUAAAAGCUCCACCAAAUCGUUUCAUUGGAUUUCGUAUCCAAAAAUUUAUAUAUUUUAAAACCACGUGAUUAAAUAGAUAAAACCAUUUUAAUAACAACCCAUCAUUACAAAUAUUAAAUUCAACAAUUAACUCAAAAAUUAAUCAAACUCAACUUAACUAAUUAUAAUCAAUCACACAUUAUGCAUAAAAUCUCAAAGUUAACAUCUCAUCGCACCUAAAAUGACUUUUUUUUUUUUAAGUAAAACAAUCAAUUUGUGAAAGAUUAUAUUAUAGAUGACUUGAUAAUCUUCAAAAUUUAUCGAUCCUUAUAAUACGAGGUGGAUUGUAUUUUAUCUCAUUUGCUAAAAAAAAAAAGAAGUGCAAAUUGGCCCUUCCAUUAAAAAUUUCAUCCAUACAUGUUGUUAAGUGAUGAUUUGGUUUUUUUCCAUUUUUUUUUUAAUAUAAGUGACCUAGAAUUAAAGGAGGAGUAGGAUUAGAAAAAAAAUACUAUGGAGGCUCUUAUAUAAGGAGUCAAGUUGCAUUUUGCCACUUCUACUCAAAAAAUGAGCAAAUCAGUUCAUGUACAUUAGAUCCAAAAGUAAAUUGAUCAUUAUGUUAAAAAUGUAAUCCCUUUUAAAUGUUAAAUGUUAAAUGUUGAUGUGAUUGAUGAAGAAACCAAACACUAAGACGUAGUGUGUCACAUGUACCUUAUGCUGACAUGACAAUAUUUUAAAAAAAUAAAAAUAAAAAUAAAAAAAUUAUAAUUAUUUAAAAAAGCAAAUCCAUGAUGAAUCUAGACAAAUUAUUAUCCUAAUUCAUUCAUCCUGGACAUGGUUUUAAAAAUAUAUAUAUAUAUAUAUAUAUAAAAACAUAGAGAAUUAUUUAAAAAUGAUCAAGAAUUAUAUAAAAUUUUAAAAAUUAUUAAAAACAACGUCUAGAAUGAUCUUGAACAAAUAGUUGUCUGAGCUCGAAUGAACCUAAACAACCAUUUAUCUAGGUUCAUUUUAGAGUGAUUUUUAAAUAAUUAUAAUAAAUAUAUAGAAAAUUAUUUAAAAUUAUUAAUACUUAUAAGAAUUUAUUAGAAAAUGUUAAAUUUUUAAAAAUUAUAUAUAUACACACAUUUAGCAUGCUUAAUGAAUUCAAAUAUACCCGUACACACAUACAUAUGUAUCUUUUUAUUCAAGUUGAUGUUUUUCCUUAAUAGAGUUGAUGAGUCUUAUUUUGUUAAUUUUUUAUAAUUCUUAAUAAAUUUUAAAUAAUUAUGUAUAAUUAUUUAAUAAAUAAUUCCAUAAUGAACCUAGACAAAUGUUUGUCUAAGCUCUUUUGAACCUAAACAACCAUGUGUCCAAGUUUAUUCUAAAUGUUAUUUUUAAUAUUUUUAAUAAUUUAAAAAAUAUACAAUUUCUUAUAAAUUUUAGUAGAUUUUAAAUAUUUUUUAUAAUGUUUAUAUUGGACGUGGUUUUUUCAAUAAUUAUAAAAAAAAUAUUUUUGAGAUUUUUUUAAUUUUUAAUUUUCUAUCGAUAUGGCCAAAUGUGCCACAUCAACACGAGAUACACGUGGCACAUCAUGUAUCAUUAUAUGGUUGUUCCAUUAGUCACGUCAUCACUUAAAAGUAGGAAUGGAUGGAAUUUUUUGCAAAAUGACCAGAUUGCUUUUUGAUCUAAAGUACACUAACUAAUUUGCAUAUUUUUUUAGUAGAGGGGGAAAAAUGUAAUCUGACUGUACAAAGGUUUCCAUGAUACUUUUACAUAAUCCUACUCAUCAUUAAUCUCACAUCACUUAUAUAAAAAAACUUAAAAAAAUUUAAAUCAUUACUUAACAACACAUAUGGAUGAAACUUUUAACGAAAGGGUCAAUUUACUCUUUUUUUCUAUCGUACAAAGGCUAGGGGUCUCCACAGUACUUUUACCAUCAUGAAAUAGGGUUUUUUUUUAAAGAGGGAAAUUCAAAGGCAACCAUUUGAGUUAUACGUUUAUUUGGACAACAUAGAGUAAUUGCGAGAAAGCGUAAUUACUUACUAAGGUAGUAAUUACAUCCUUUCUAGUUACAAAAAAAAAAUCUAAUUCUCAAAUGUGUCUGGUUGAUAAAGUGUAAUUAUAUAUUUAAAAAUAAUAAUAAUUUUCAUUAUGUUCGAUUACCUUUGUAAUAUCCCGAAAAUUACUACAGUAAGAAAGUAGGUAUACUUGAUAUGGUAAAAUAAGGAAAUAAAGUGACAAAAAGGAAAAUUUUGAUUUAUGUCAACAUUGGAAAGUAUAUUAUGACAUAUUAAUGCAAGAAAGGACUAAUUCGCAAAAGUGAGAAAAGUUUUGUUGCCCAAGAGUAAAUAUUUAAAAUUUAAGGGGUUAAAGUGUAAAUAUGAAAAGUUGAAGGAUCAAUAGUGUAAAUAUUUUAAGGGUGGAAUGAUCUAGAAACUAAGGAAAAUCGAUGAAUUAGGACCAAAUUGAAUAAGUGAAGAAUUAUGAAGGACUAAAUCGUAAUUUUACCAAAUUGAGUGAUGACUAAGGAUGAAAUUUUAAAAGAUCAUGAAGGGGAAAAUGGUCAAUUAGAAGGAGAGAGAAAUCUAGAAGGCAGUGAUGUGUUGGAGAUAUUUUAGAUAAUUAAAUAAAUAAAUAUUAGUUUAUAAUAUUUUGAUUUGAUUUUUUUAAUGAUAUUUUAUUAUUUUAUUUAGUAUAUAUAUAUGUGGAAAGAAAGAUGAAAAACCACCAUCCCACCAUUUUUCCCAUGCAUUAACGUGAGAAGAAGAGAGAAAGAAAGAAAGUUUUGCUUUCUUUACAAUUUGGUCCUUCCACCAAAAAUUUACCAUUUUCACCUAGAAAUCAAAAGAAAUUCCAUAGCUUCCAAGAGAGAAGAAUAACAAUGAGACAAUGGGGAGCUAGAAUAUCAAGUUAGAUUCAAGAAAUAGAAGCUAGAGGAGAGAGAAAAUCAAGUUAAAGAUUGAAAUCAACAGCACAAGGUAAGAAUAUCAAUAUUUCAAUAUAUUUUUAAGUUUGAUAUUAUUGAAAAAGCAUGGAAAUAAUGUUAUAGUAGAGUUUUCUUAUAUAAGGUCUUAUGCUUUUGAUAAAUUAUUGAAAUAAAAUAAGAGAAAGUGAUGGGAAAUAUUAUAGAGAAAGGGAAUAAGGGUGUUAUAAAUUUAGUAAUCAACAUUUUGCACUAAAACAGUUUUGGACAGCAAUAGUAGGUUAACUUUGAAAAAUCACCACAAAUCGUGGAAAUUGAAUUAUAGUAUGAAUAAAAUAUGGAAUUAAAGCUUAUUGAGUCUAGUUUCUCAUGGAAGAAACAGUGUAAGUAAUGAAAUUUUAAAUUAUGAGAUAUAAUAAAAUUUGUGAGACAAGGUCAGAAUGAAUUCGGGUUCCCCUGUUCUGACUUUAGAAAAUCAUAAAAAAUUGAAUAAAAAUAAUUUUAGGCUUAAAUUUAUAUGUUUAAAAAUCCUGAAUGAUUAUAUUUUAAAUAGAAACAAAUGGGAAUAUUAUCCGAAUUCUGGACAAAGAGAUAAUUAAUUUUUAGUGAAGAGGGGUCGGAACUGUCAAACAGUGAAAUAGGGCAAACUUUAAAGAAUAAAAUAUACUUAUUGGCUAAACCAAAAAUUCUGAAAAUUUUAUGGCAAGAAUAUAUGUGAGUCUAGUUUUAUAUAAAAUUUUAGUAUCUCUAUUCGGAGUUCUGUAGCUUAAGAUAUAAUUAAUUUAGUGACUAUGACUCAAGUGAACAACUUGUUAUGAGUAAACAAGUAAAUAGUGGUAUUAUGUAUAUAUCAAGGAUGUGGAAUGGAGUGGAGGAGGAGGAAAAAUAUAUGUGAAUAUUCAGCUAAUAUGAGUUUAUUUUAAAAUAGCUAAUUUACAUGUUUUAGGUUCAGCGACUAAAUUGAAUAAAAGUAAAAUUUUAAGGGUAAUUUUUGUAAAAAUGUCAAAAAGUGACCAAAUUGCAUGAAAUGAAUUGUUUUAUUAUUUAAAUUAAUAAAUUGAAUGAAAUAUUAAUUUAGCUCAAUAUUGGGUGGAAAUUCGAGGAAAAUAGAAAAUUACCAAAAUGUCCCUGAAUUUUGGUAUUUCUGCAAUUUAGCCUGGUAAGUUCGUAUGAACUAUAUUCUGUAUAAUUUUAUUUAAAGUGAAUGUUAUUUGGUGAUGAAUAUUAUAUAAAUAUGUGUUUUAUUAUUUGAAUUAAAUUAUUAUUGGUAAUAUGUAUAAUUAUUAGAUGCAUUGAAAUGAUUAUCGAAAGCUCGAUUGGGUUGGAGGCUUGCUAGAGAUAUAUCACACUAUCCAUUGGUUUUAUCGGUAAUUUUGGAGGAUUUGAUUCUGGUAAUAAUGGCAUGUAUAAGUUAAAUUGGCCAACGUUAGCUCAUUAAUGUUUUGAUUUUGAUUGGUUAUAAAUAUGAAUGCUUGAUGAAAUGAAACGUCGGUAAAUUAAUUUGUAAACUCCGGUAAUGCUCUAUAACCCUAUUCUGGCGAUGGAUAUUGGUUAGGGGUGUUACAACCUUAGUUAACUCCCUCACUACUCAUCUUCCUCUAAGAAUUGAAUUGUUCUAAUUAUGUAAUUACAAUGAUUACCCAAGCAUAUUACACAUAUGUAAUUACGAGAAAUAACAAUUAAAUCUAAUGAUUAAGUAAAUCUUCAAAUACAACAAUAUACUGAAUGGAUCAAAAAUUGAAAAUUCCUAAUAUUAUUCACAUGCUCGUAUAAUUAUUAUUUGUGGUGGCAUAAAUAUAUGAAAUUAGGAAUACAACCCCAUCUUAAUUUGUAUGGGACAGUGGUUAAAACUCUUAUUUAACACUCGUUAGCUAGAAUUCAAAUAGUGUUACCCCAUUUUCUAUAUUAUAUCAAAUAAAUAAAUACAACCUUGCUAUAAUGGCUUGUCUUUUUAGUUACAUUUAUUUAACAAUUAAAAUUUUUUAAUUUUUUAAUUGUAUAAAGUUUUUCAUUUUAUAAUUUAGGAAUUUAGAUUUAUUGGUAGAAUGUUGUACUCUUAGUUCUUCUGAACAAGGCUAUAUUGGUGUUUUCUAUUUUAUUAAAUGUAAAACAAUAUUUAAUAUUUUUUGGUUUUUUAAAGUGUUUAUUAAUUUUAUUAAGUAAUGAAAUAUUUAAAUAUAUAUAAUUUACCAAUAUGUUUUAUCUACAAUAUUAUAAAAUUCUUUUUAAAAGUAUUGCGUGAAUAAAAAAGAACAAAAUUUAAAAAAAAAUCUCAAAAUUAAAAUAUAAAUGUAAAAUUCCUUAAAAAUUAAACUUCCAUAUACACAAUUAUACAAAAUCAAAAUUUAUGUAUAGUAUUGUACAUCGAACCAAAGUUCAAAUGAAAAUUUGAGAUUUAUCCAAAAAAGAAUUAAAAGAGAAAAGAUUUUUUUAUAAGUAUAUAAACUAUGAAGUUAUUUGUAAUAAAUACAAAUUAAUAUCUAUAAAAUAAUUAAAACAAUAAUAAUUAAUACAUACUUAAUGGUAAACAAUAAUUUAUAUGUAACUCUCAGAAAAAUGAAAGCCAAAAAAUAAAUAUAUUUGAUAAGUUUGUAAUCUCUAUAAAAAAAUAAAAACCAUAAAUGUAACUUCUAACAAUUAAUAAAAAAAUUAAAAUUAUCAUAUUUAAUUAUAACAACAAAAAAUUAGUAAUUUUUACCUCAAAAAUCAAUAAUUUUUCAUAACUUAAUUAUAAUACCUUCAAACUAUUUAAAUUUAUCUAAUUAAUUAUUUUAUUAAGUGUCAAAUAUAUGGAGUGAGAAAUAUCAUGUAGAUGUAGAUAAUUUUAAAAUAAUAGGAUUUUAUUUUAUUAAAUAUAAUUUUCAAUUCUAAUUUCACUUAAAAUUUAACUGAUAAUGCAUAAAUUAAACCUAUUUAAUAAUUUAGUAAAGACCAAAUAAAUACACAAUAAAACAAAAAAAAAGUAAGUGCUGACAAAAAAUUAAAUUAAAUUAAAAUUUCAAAAAAAUAAUUAAAUAAAAUUCUAUUUCCCAUUUAAUUAUAGAUACACAAUUUAUCCUAUUUGAUAUAGAAUAAAAUUUGUGGCACCACUUUAAUAUUCAUACUAUUAUUUUAUAAUAAAUAAAUAAUCACAUCAAUAGAAUUAUUAUAUUUUACUAUGAAUCAAGAAAAUAAUAUUAAAAAUAAAAUAACUAAAGGAAAAUUUUAAAUAAUAACUAAAAUAUUUAAAAAGUAAUUAAAACACAUUUAUUAAAAAUAUAAUAUGAUGCAUAUCAUCAUAUGUGUAACAACAUGUAAGCUUGUUAUUUCCACAUAUUGCUUUCUAAAAAUCUAAUAAUGGAUUAACGACCGUCAUUUGAGUUAAGACUAAAAUUUCAAAUUUCGAAAAGUUUAGCGACUUAGAAGGAUCCAAUUGGAGAAUUUGAUCUAAAUCUACAAUUGUAUGUAUAGUAUGGGACCAAUAAUUAAAAGUAACCAAACGAAUUUAAGUGCUACUAUUUGGAACGUGACUAAAAUUUCAAAAUUUGAAAAUUAUAAGGACUAAAAUUGACCAAUUUGAAAAGUAUAAGAACUAAAAUCGAUCAAAUUAAAGUACAUGAAUUAAAUCUAAAACUUUUGCAAAGUAUAAAGACUAAUAGCAGAAUUUAACCGAAUGAAAAUGAUGCGUGGCAAUUAAGCAAGAAGAACGGGUAAAAAUACAAUGGAGGCCCUUGUACUAAGUGUCAUAUUGCAUUUUGUCCUUUCAACUAAAAAAAUAGGCAAAUUAAUCCCUAUACAUUAGAUCAAAGAGCAAAUCGGUCUUUUUUGUUAAAAAUUAUAUUCUUUUCUAUUAUUAAAAAUUAGCAUGACUGAUAAAAUAACGUGACGUGACACAUGUACCUCGUGUUAAUGUAUAAAAACAAGUUUUUAAUAUUAUAAGUAGAUGAAAUUUUUAUUAGAAAACUAGUUUCCAAGAAUUAAUUUACAGUAGACAAAUUCACUCGUAAUUAUGCAAAAAAGUCAAAGUGAGAAGGGAAUUAGGCGACAAAAGGAAAGAAACAAAAUAGAACAGAGCUCUGAGAUUUGUUGAAUAUUUAAUAUUCAUCCAUUGAAAACGUUGGGAAACGGGAUAGUCAUUAAUCACAUGAUAAUGCACUACUUUUUCUUCCUUUCGAAUUUGAAGGUAAAGACUAAAGAGUCUUAUCUUUUGGGCCCAACUCCGUACUAAUCCUUAAAGCCUGAUUCAUGUGAAAAUCAUUCUACUACUAUCUAAUCAUUAUGCUUAAUAUCAAAUUUUGGCCCUUUUUAUUUUACUACUUCAACUCCUUUUUUUUGUCAAAAUUAGUACCUAAAGUAAGUUUUUUUUCCAUAUUGGUACCUUUUUCUGUCAACUAUUAGUCAAUGAUGAUGUGAUCCAAUUCACCAAGCAACACAAAUAAUUUCAAAAAAUAGAAAAAUGAAAUAAAAAUAAUUUAUAAAUAAAUAAUAAAUGUAUAAUUAAAAAUAAUUAUAUUAAUAUUAAAAAAAUAUUUUCCUUUCCCCCGCCAUCGUUCUCCCUCACCCUUAUCGUCCCCUCUUGGCUCCUUCCUGAUCUCCCAUAAAUUGAUACAUCAAAUUAGGCUCUCCAAUACACUAGAAUAACUUAUUCUCAGACAAUUUAAGUGUCUUUUAUAUAUUUUUAUCGAUUUUUAGUUUCAAGUGCUAAUAAAUGUUUUUGUCUUUUAUAUGAAAGAUAGAAAUACAAAAGAUAUAACAGUGAAAUGUGAAAUUUAUUUAUUCAUUGUUCAAAUACAUAGAAAACAAUUACAUGUAUACUACAAUAUGAACACAUUUCCCAACAUAUAAAUGCUAUUUUGUAAGCUUUUGGAGAUAGAUUUUGUUGGUUAAACACUUGUUCUUUACUUCUUAUAUUUCUUAGCUUAGGUUUUCAUUUUUUUUCUUUUAUCUUCUUUUCUUUCUUUUCUUUUUAUUUUUUUUGUAGUAUUUUAUUUCUUCAUUUUUGUUGGAACCUUAUGGAUGGAGAUGGAUUAAACGCUUGUGCUUCAUCGAAUGUUUAUCUACUAAUGAGCAUUUUCUCAAUCCUUAUAUUUUAUAUUUUAUGCCUACUAUGUGUUUGUUAAAAUGCUUGUGGAAUUUAAGUUUAAUUAUGUGUUGAAUUAUUUUAUUGGUUGAUUGAUUAGUGGGUUACUUAACUAAGUUAUUGCCUAUUCCUUGAUUGGUUGUUUGUUCAAGUGUAUUAAAUUGCAUAUUGCACUAGAAUUGAUGCCUCUAGUGGAAGAUUUAGAUUGAAGAGAUUAAGAGGAGACUCUAUUUAAUAGGACUUUGAUACACUUGUGCGGAAUAGUGAGAUCGAGAGGAGAUAUAUAUGCCUAAGUGAGACCGAAAGGAGAAUUUAGGUGAUAUCUUUUAGUUUCCUAGCUAGGAGUAACAAGCAACAUGAUCAUUAUAGGUUUAUUAGUUUAGUUAGUAAUCUAUGACUCAUUCAACCACCAUUUCAAUCCAUUUGCAUUGUUUCUAGUAAAAAAGAAGAAAGUUAGUUUGAUAUUUUUAUUUGUUAAUUUAGAUAUACCUCAAAUAUUAUUUUAUUUGAACUUGCACUAAUAAUUUCUGAUUCGAUUAGAUUAGUAAUUGCUUAACUUGUAAUCAACUUGAUAAACAUAUUUACCAAUUUGAUAAUCUCUUGGGUUCGAUCCUUGAAAUGCUCGAAGCGUUCCAUUGUAACACUUAUAAAUAUUACAACUGAUCUGUCACACUUGCAGUAUACCGCUAGAUUAUAAUGAUUUUUGUGUUGAUUUAUAGUCCCAGUGCACACAUGUCGGGGUGCAGUCACCUCCCACCACCACUUUCGCUCUCCCUAAUGCCAGUCAAAGUAGUCAAGAAAUCCAACAACAAUGGCAAGUUGGAAAAGCUCAUGGUUAAGGAGUUGCUUUCAUUUCCUAUUAUUUUCUUGAAUCAUAUCCAUAUUUUUAGAAUAAUCCAUAUAGUUUGUCUUUGAUCUAGCUCAUUUCUUUUAAUCUUCCUAACAAACAUUUUUUGGGCUCAGCUUUGUUUGUUUGAUUUUCUGGGUGCACCUUCUAGAAUCUUUUUGUGUUUCCUUUUCUUGGUUUUUUGGUACUUUGGGUAUUUGAAUCAAUUAAAAGAGUGAUUAAGCAAUGUGAAUUGAAAACUGAUUCAAUCGGAUGGUAGGGGAGAGCGAUGGUGGGGGGUAGGGAGUCGAGAGGUGGGAGGGGAGUGGGACGGUGGGAAAGAGAAAUAUAUUUUUUAUUUUGUAAUAUUAAUAUUAAUAUAUUUUUUUAAUUAUAUAUUGAUUAUUUUUUAUAUUUUUUAUAUUUUGUAAAAAUUUUUAUUUUUCUAUUUUUUUGAAAUUAUUUGACAUAAAUAACAAUGUGACAUUCUUUGUGUGAUGUUCUUUUCACAUGUCGUUUGUUGAUUGGACCACAUCAUCAUUGACAGUGGUUGAUUAAUGAUUGACAAACGAAGGUAUCAACGUGAGGAAAAAAACUUAAUUUAGGUAUAAAUUAUAAUUAAAUUUUUAAUGAUGAUCAAGAAAUUAUAAUUUCUUUUAUUUGUCUAGAGAAACGAAUUAGUAUUUAACUACUCUUUUACACAACAUAUGAUGCAUCUAUCUUAAAUCAAAUACUCGAUUGGAAAAUUGUGAUUCAAAUAUGAUUUAUAUUUUAAAUAAAGCAAUGAAAUUGGUAGCAAAAAUGAUGUGGCAAUUACACUAAAAAAAGUAAUAAUUUGUUUAUUAAACUAUUUAAAAGAUUUUAUUUAAGACAGGACGAAUCCAAAAAAAAAAUUUAGCAGGGGUUGGUAUUUAAUUAUAAUUUUCUCAUAGAUCAAAAUAUAAUUUUAUUAUGUAUUAAUUUAUAAUUUCAUUAUUUUUUAAGGAACUAAACAUAAUUUUAUUUUUAUUUUUUAGGGAGGCUAAAGUGCAGUUUUACUAUAUAUUGAUUUAUAAUUUCUUUAUUAUAAGAGAACUGAAUUGAAAAUUUUUCAUUUUGGGGGACAAUGUGUAAUUUCACUACAUAUUAAUUUAUGGUUUUUAUAUUUAUAGGAGGACAAAAAUUUUAAAAAAAUUCACCCCUGAUUUAAGUCAUUAGGUUGUUAAGUUUUUUUUUUGAAAUUUGCUAGCGAGCUCUAAACCAUGAUUUGACGAUCAGUAUAUGGAUCAGUACCCAUCGAUGAUGACUCCACAAUCUCCACAUUGUGAUGUCGCCAACUCAGUAAGUCACAUCGCGACUUCAUGUAUAUCGAUGUUGCAACGUCACUCAUUGUCAACUCACGUUGCGACGAUAGUAGUUGGUAGUCGUGAUGAGACCCUUGUUUUUGGUAAAAAUAUCAUUUGAUUCCAAUCCAAUAAUUUGUAACACAAUCUAAAUGAUUCGUACAUCUUUUAUACCAUAAAAAAAAACCAUCUCAAUUCCAUACCAUUUCAUGUCAAUAAAAUCACUUACCAUUUCAAUCAAGCAUUGAAUAUGUCGAUUGCCACAAAAUCAUCAAUUCAGUUCCAACUCACCUUUACACGUAAACAUACCAAGUUUGAACUUAUAUACCAACUUAUCACACUUUAACUACCCCACCUUCAAUUCAUAACUUAAUAAAUCAUGCAAAUUCAUGAUCACCCUAUUCACUAAUAUCAAACAUAACUAAACAUGCAUCAUCUAAGUCAUUUAUCAACUUAACAUCCAAAAACAUGUAUCAACUUAGUCACAUGAAAAAUUAGCAAGUGCAUACACAAACAUUACCAAAACCACCUUCUUGGUACAAACGUUAUGUUCACAAUUCAAGUGACAUAUUGAUCAUAUAUACAUGCCACAACACUUUAACCAAAAUGAGCAUAACUCUAUCGUUUUGAUGAUAGUGUGAGCUUCUCUUCAAUCCGACUCGAGAGGUUCGCAAGGUAAUGAUCUAUAAGGAAGAAAACGACUAGAGUAAGCAUAUAGAAUGCUUAGUAAAUUCGAUUAUAAAUUUACCAUGCUUACCUUGUUCUUAUAUAAGCAUAAACACAACUUUAAUUUGGCAUAAUGUUGGCUAGUACAAGACAUUCAAAUAACAACAAAGUGAGCUUAUAACAAUGUUCAAGAUCAUCAAUACUACAUGAGACUUAAGCAUACCAAAUCACAAUACACUCCCAUAUUCAUUACAAUGGCAUAUUCAAUCCACAAUUCACAAUUCCAUAUCAAGCAUACAUGAUUCAAUACAAAUAUCUUUCUUCAUAAUCAAUAUAUAAAUGUAUCCAAUUACAAUCAAGUCCAUUUAAUGGCAAUUCAAUGUGAUUACUAAUUCCAUUUCAUCCUCUGUUCAAGUUUCCAAUUUCUUUUAUAAGAUUUUGCCCAAUGAACCAUAGUAAAACGGACUCGGAUACAUGGGUUAACUAUACCACACCAAGUUAUUCGUCUAAGCUAAAUAUAUAUAUAAAUCAGGUUACCCGUCCGAGCUAAACCUAUAUUACAACACAUCAGGUUACUCGUCCAAGCUAAACUUAUGUCACAUAAUACCCGAGAAUCUGAAACAAAUAUUGGAUCUCGUUAAAGUUUGUGAUAAUCCUUGUACAAGCGUGUAUAAGACCUUAUUGGCAUGUUAAUCGUAUCCUAACCUUUUAUUAAGUUCACUCGGGCAUUAAUUUCACAAAUUUCAAUAUCAUUGCAGUAAUUAUCUAUAUUUCAUAUUGUACCUUGUAUGUAAUUGCAUGUUUCAAUUACAUGCUCUGUACACAUUAAAAAUUUUACAUUUUUACCCUAUACUAUUUUAUUAUAACCAAAUAUCAUAUAACUUUUCAAUUCAAUCCAUACUAGUUAUUUAUGCCAAAUUCACAAAUGUUCUAAUUUUGUACAAACAUAUCUAAAUGGAAUCUAAUACAAAAUCACACAUAACAUAAAAUAAAAUAGUAAAUUUCAUAUGAACUUACCUAUUUAACGAGGUGAAAAGAAUGGAUACUUCAGGGACUAAUCCAUAAUUUUAGCUUUUCCUUUAUUAGCUCCACUUGGAUCCAAGUAUUGAUCUAUACAAUUAUUUUAUAUAACUAAUCAAUUGUAACACCCCUAACCCGUCUACAUUAGUACCAAAUUUUUUUCAUAUUAUGUCAUGAUAUUAAUGAACCUAUAUGAACUCAUUUUUAAAUAUCCCUAAAUAUCAUAACACAUUUUAUUCAAUUUAGUCCCCAAACUUAAGAUAGCCAUAACUUUCAAUUCCUAACUUCGGAUUAAAAUUCGAGUUUAUAUAUUCUCAUUAGAAACCUUAAACUUUCUAAUUCUAACCUAAUUUCAUGACAAGUUUCACAUUUAUUCAAUUUGGUCCCUAAUGUAACAAAGUUAACUAACAAGCUAAAUAACUUUACAAUCUAGUCAUUUUUUAUAAUUUAAGCUUAAAAUCUAUCAACUUCAAGCCUAAUUUUUCAAGAAAUCAACAAUCGAAAAUUUGUAAAACUUCAACAGUUUUACAAAUCGGCACAUGGACUAACUAAAUAAAGCUCCCAUGACCUCAAUCUUAUAAAAAUUAUAAGUAAAUAACUUAAAUUUCACACCUAAAUGUUGGCUGAAUGUCAAGCUUGUUUUCGAAGUUUUUCACACUUUAGCGGAUGGCAAAGAGAUGAAAUGGUUAAAGAAGAUAACCUUUCAUCCACUAAUUUAACUUAUAUAGUUUAAUUAAGGUUUAAUUAAACUAUUUUAAUUAACAUAAACAUGGUUUAAAUAAUUUAAUCUAACUUGAUCAUUCUUAAUGGAUUUUGACAUCACCAUCCACUAAAUUCAACUUUAAAAUGGUUUAACAAUCAUUUUGGACCUUUGGCUAAUUGCAAUUUAAGUCCUCAAGCCUUUUGCCAAUUAGAAAUCUAUAACGACCGGACUUUUAUAAUUUAGUCCAUGAGCCUUAAUUAAUUAUUAAUUUAGCAAAAUUACUAGACCAAUCUUAAAUAUAUUUUUAUAUUAUUUAAUAUUUAUGAACUCAAUUUACGAAAAUGAGGUUUCGAGACCGCAUUUUCGAUACCACUAAAAAGUAGGUUGUUACAUAUUUUGUCUUUAUGUAUGUUUCACCAAACUUGCCUUUAAAGUUCUCGUAUUCAAGAUCACUAUACAAAAUUUGUCUCCAAGGCAUCUUACUUUGCCUCUCUAGGUCGACUUCACCGAGUUUGCUUCUCAUGCAUGUGAAAACCAUUGACAAACCUUGCUAGGGAUCCAUAGCAAGCAUCGUCAAUAAAUCAACUCAAGACAAAUCACUUUGUAACCUACCUUUUGUCUAAGGGUAAUUGUUAUACCUAUUCUUGCAUACAACUAUCAAGGCACCUUGUUGCAGCUUAAUGAAUCACCUAUACCUCUAUAACCACCCUAUGUAUAAUAGGGCGUCAUUCUAGUGGGACUUACACCAAAGCUUCAUUUUUCCUAUAAAACCUAUUUCCAUCACAAGAAGAAGGGAAGCUCAAAGAAAUCUACCAAAGUUUUGCCAAAUCUCUCCCAAAAAGCUCUUUCAACUCAUAAGACCCCUUGAAACCACCAUUCGUAAUGGCUCUCUGUACUAUCUACGGUAUGAAUCACCUCCACUUUAGCAAUUCUUCAUAUCUUCUAUGGUGUGAACUGCCAUUACAAGCCACCCUUAACUUAUUAUGUUGUAACAAUAAUAACCAAAUACCUGAUAAAAAUAAAAAAUGCCUAUGUUCUUUUCAGCUAAAUAAAGGGUACUAGAAUUUUCUACUUUUGAUUAUAUUUGAUCUUAACCAAAGAAAUGGGAUUUGGAAGGGCCAAUAAAAAAAACAAUAACGUGCAUUAUUAGCGAUACAAACAUUGUUUAUUAAUCGUCAUUAUCUCGAAAUUGUAACAUUGCCCUCUUAAUUGUAAUAUACCCAAAAAAAAUUGAUAAAGUCUUUGGUUUAUUGAUAAGGAUGAAGUCGAAAGAUCUCAAAGUCAAGCUCAACGGAGCUCUUUCUAGACGUAUUUUGGUUAUUAGAACAUUUAUAGUUAUUCAAAUUAAUAAUUAUAAUUAUAAUUUUUUCAAAAAAUAAAAAAAUAAUUAUAAAGAAAGGAUUUAAGGAUUGAGGUUUUAAAUAUCAAUCUGACUAUAACAUGCAUGCAAAAGAUAUAUUUUCUUCGGCAAGCUGGAUAACCUUAUAUAGCUCCAUUGAAUUUAAACAACUACAACCUAACACCUAUGCAACAACUACCAAAAUGACAUUAAGGACUAAGAAUUCCAAUGGUGUAUUUCUAGGUUUGCCUCUGGUAGCUAACUAACAAGGCAUUACAAAUGACGUGCUAUUAUUUCCUGACGCUCUAUUUCUGCUUGGAAACUUGCGAUAAAUUGCUCGUCCUUUGCAUCAAUUUCAUUUAUCAUAAGCGAUGCCAGUACUAAUGAUCGACUAUCACACAAAUCAUCUCUCUGCUUUUCUAGUUCCUUGCUUGUUCUUACCUCAGCAACAACUUCGUCAACCAGCUUCUUUUUCUUUUCUGGUGGUUGCUGCGGAAUAUACUCCACCAAUAUAAUGAGAGGUGCCUCUUUAGAAAGCUUAUCAAUGUAAAUAGGCAUAGCUGCAGUAGCUUUAUUCUUGGAGACGUAGUAGUGUUGGAACCCAAAAAGAAGAACACAACGUCGCUUGUUACGGAGGUGUUGCCCCAAGAAAAGUGAGGGCCUUGUUGUUUUCAAAAUAGUUGUUUGUAGAUGAGUAUUGUCGAGUUUCUUGAUAGUUUUGGAUUUGUGAAGUUUAUGUAGUCUGGUUUGCAGUUUGGAAGUAAAGCUCUUCCAUACUUUCUUGGCUAGAGGAAGCCUAAUCUUCAAGCAAGACAUCAAAAAAGAGAUAGUAGGAGAUAUGGGAAAUGGCAAUGUAAAUAAUGUAGGAAAACAAGUGUUCAAAUUGCGUAUUUUUUAUAAAAAAGACAGAUGGCUUAGAAUCUAUGUAUUGUUACCAUUUUUUCUAUGAUUCAUAUUUUAUCCAUCUUGCAACUUUACGGGACUGGCUUAGAUCUUAUGCUAACAACUAGCCUUGUUUUAUUUAAUUUAUGGGAAUAAACCAACUGAUUCAGGCAUUUAUCUAACCAUUUGAUCUAAACCCUUAUUUAAUAUGUUUAUGGGACAAACUGGAACCACAUUUUUAUGUAUGUAAAUUUAUCUAGCCAUUCGAUCUACCGCCAAUCAUCCUCCCCCCCACCUUUUAUUUUUACACUUCGGAUAUUACGCAACCCCUAUGUUAGUUCACAAGAUACCUCAAUGGUGAUGAUCACUGGGAGACGUAAAGUUAAAAUCAUAUAUAUUAGUAUUAGAACAAUCCAUGCAAAUUCGUGACUCAAUUUUUCCAACUUUUCUAAGAUGCUUUAAUUCGGUUGGUAUAAAAUUGUACAAGUGUUCCAACAGGUUAAUCCAUCCUAUCCUACUGAAUGGCACAGAAUCUAGUACCAUCAUAUAUUGAUCUGUGUUAAAAAAAUCCUAGGCAAAAUCUGACACUGAAAUAAACGAGUCUGUCAUUGCCAAGUAAAUUCUUUUAUUUGCUCAAAAUAAUUGAAAAAAUUUCUCCUUGGAAGAAAAUUGUAACACCCCUUACCCGUAGUCAACACCGAAAUAGGGUACGAGGCAUUACCAGAACACAUACGCUUGUAAACGUAUUUAACCAAGUUAUAAAUUUCAUCUAAAUUAAAAUUUUCAAAAUUAUUAACAUGCUUUUAUAAUUUUUCAUAAUAUAUCCUCAAAAUAUUAUGAUCAUAAUAAUUAGGGCCUACGAAACCCGAUACAUACUCAUGCAAUUUAAUGCUUCAUUUCCAUUUCAUUAUUUCGAUAUUUCAUGUACCAUCAUUUUCAUGAAUUUUGUACAUACCAGUAAUAGUUCAUUUCAAAUUCAUGUUAUCUCACUUCAAAACUUUACCCGUUAUAUCAUUUAAAUAUCAAUGGUUACAUUUAUUUCAGAUCAAUACCAAUAAUAAUUCAAUUCCAUAUUUUCUAAUACCCUUAUUAUUUUCCAUGUUUAUCCCGUUGAAUUUCUCAGAAAUUCAAUGGAUUUUCAAAGGUACACUUUUAGUGUACAAUUCCGGGUCCGUCAAUUCAUAUUCAUAUGCGCACAUUUCCAUUUCAGAGAGCACACUCCCGUGAACCUCAUCCUUACAGCGGGAUUACCAGUCCAGGCUAAAUCCCCUGCAAGAUAGCACACUCCCGCGAACCUCAUCCUUACAGCGGGAUUACCAGUCCAGGCUAAAUCCCCUGUAAUAUAAACUCAUAGAGUAUUGUCGGGAUUACCAGUCCAGGCUAAAUCCCCUGCAACGACAAUUACUCUAAUGAGCUUGGAUCUGAAUUACCAGUCCAGGCUAAAUUCAGACCUUAAUUCGGAUUACCUGUCCAGGCUAAAUCCAUUUUCCACAUAUUCUUCGGGAGGGCUAUAUCAAGAUCACCCGUCCGGGCUAGAUCUUUUUCACACAUAUUCUUCGGGAGGGCUAUAUCAGGAUAGGAUCACGCGUCCGGGCUAGAUCCUUUUUACCGUCAAUUCCUUUUCAGAGAUCCAUCGAAUUUUCCUUUCAUUCAACCGGGAUUUAUUUUCUCUUUUCAUCAAGAAUAUCAAUACUUCAUCAAUUAUCAUACAAUAAACAUCCAAAUCAUAUUCAAAUCAAUAAAAAUAUAUUUCAAGCAUUUAAGCACAUAAUUCAAGUUACACGAACUUACCGGGCUAAAUUGUAAAAAUACUAAAAUACAAGAGCAUUUUGGUAAUUUUCAAUUUUCUCAAUUUUCUACCCGAUCUUGAUCUAAAUUAAUUUUUAAUUUUAAUAAAACAACUCAUUUCAUGCAAAUUGGUCAUUUUUGACAUUUUUCCAAAAUUGCCCCUAAAGUUUUACUUUUAUUCAAUUUAGUCCUCGAACCCAAAUCAUGUAAAUUAACCAUUUGUAAUGCAAAUCCAUAAUAUUCAUACAUUUAUUUUCCUCCUCCUCCUCUCCAUUCCACAUCCUUAAUUUAUAUAACAUGCUUAUAAGUAAUAUUGUCUAUAAUUUUCACUAUUUUCUUGUAAAUUUAUUCAAAGCUGUCCAUUUGAGUCAUAGUCACUAAAUUAUUUGUAUCUUGAGAUACAGAAAUCAAAAUUAAGAUCCGUUAAUUUUUCCUGAAACUACACUCACAUGUCUUCUUGCCAUAAAAUUUUCAGAAUUUUUGGUUUAGCCAAAUGGUACAGUUUAUUCUUUAAAGUUUCCCCUGUUUCACUGUCUGACAGUUCCAACCACUCUUCACUAAAAAUGAAUUAUCUAAUUGUACAGAAUUCAGAUGAUGUUUCUGUUUGUUUUCUUUGAAAAUAGACUCAUCAAACAUUCUAAGAAUAUAAAUUUUAUCCCAUAAUUAUUUUUUUACAAUUUUUAAUGACUUUCCAAAGUUAGAACAGGGGAACUCAAAAUCAUUCUGACCUUAUCUCACAUAACCUAUUAUAUCUCAUAAUUUAUAAUUUCAUUGCUUACACUGUUUAUUCUAUAUGAAACUAGACUCAAUAAGCUUUAAUUUCAUAUUUUAUUCAUCCUAUAAUUCAAUUUCCACAAUUUAUGGUGAUUUUUAAAAUUUAACCUACUGCUGCUGUCCAAAACUGCUUUAGUGCAGAAUAUUGAUUACUAAGUCUAUAACACUCUUAUUUUCUUUUUUUUUACACUAUUUCUCAACACUUUCUCUUAUUUUCUCUUCACUAACAUAUCAAGAACAUAUAACUUUAUAUAAUAAAACCCUACAUUAACAUCAAUCUCACACUUUUUCAAUAAUAUCAAACUCAAAAAUAUAUUGAAAUCAUGAUGUUCUUACCUUGCUCAAUUGACUUCAAUCUUUAACUUGAUUUUCUCUCUCCUCCAGCCUCUAUUUCUUGAAUCUAACUUGAUAUUAUAGCUCCCCAUAGUCUCUUUGUCAAUUUUCUCUCUUGGUGGCAAUGGAAAUUUCUUUGAUUUCUAAGUAAAAAUGGUGGAUUUUUGGUGAAAGGACCAAAUUGUAAAGAAAGCAAAGCUUUCUUUCUUCCUCUCUUCUUCUCACAUUAAUGCAUGCAAAAAUGGUGGGGAUGGGUACUUUUCAUCCUUCUUUCCACAUAUAUAUACUAAAUAAAUUAAUAAUAAAAUAAUAUCAUUUAAAAAAAAUUAAAUUAAAAUAUUAAUAAACUAAUAUUUAUUUACUUAUUAAUCUAAAAUAUCUCCAACAUCAUCAUUAUCUUCUGGAUUUCUCUCUCUUCUAAUUGACCAUUUUGCCCUUUAUGAUCUUUUAAAAUUUCAUCAUUGAGUCAUCACUUUAUUUGGUAAAAUUGUGAUUUAGUCCCUCGAACUUCUUCACCUUUUUCAAUUUGGUCCUAAUCCAUCCAUUUUUCUUAGUUUCUAGAUUAUUCCACCCUUAAAAUAUUUACAUCAUUGGUCCUUCAAAUUUUUCAUAUUUACACUUUAACCCCUCAACUUUUAAGUAUUUACUCUUGGGUAACAAAACUUUUCUCAAUUUUGCGAUUUAAUCCUUUCUUGAAUUAAUAUGUUAUAAUUUACUUCCCAAUAUUUCCAUAACUCAAAAUUACCCCUUUUUAGCACUUUAUUUCCUUAUUUUACUAUAUCAGAGAUAUUAUCUUACUUUCCUUACUAUAGAAAUUUUCGGGGUAUUAAAAAAAUUACUUACAAAACCCAGAGAGGAUAAGCAAAAAUAAUAAUAAUCAAAGUAGGCGAGAUCAAUAUCAUUUUACGACAUCCAUUUGUAAAACCCCCUCCCCUCUUUUAAGAGAAAAAAAACACUAGAAGAGGGCUUGUACAUCGAUUUGUUGCAUUUCUCUAAGCUUCCAUAUGAGGUAGAGGGCACCCUCUCUGAGUUCUUCUACAUCCACUUGUUGCAUGGCCCAGGCAUAAUACACAGUGUGAAUUGUAUCCUAGUAAAACACAAAUUCAUCAACACAUAGUCAAUGUCUAUGCUAUACACACAUGAAAUGGUAAAUUAAAGAUCAAAAAUCAUUUAAAACAAAGGUAUAAUUAACACAACACUAACAUAUCUCCCACCGAUUUAUCCAAAAGUUCAAUUAAUGUAGUUAAUUUCAUACACAAAUUUCACCUGAAACAAGAUAUGAGCAUAUGUACCAGCAAUGCAUGCAAAAAAAACUAACUAGUUAGUCAUAUACCUUCUCGCCUUCUGUUAUUUUACCCUUUCUAUCACGUACGCAAUAGAUCUACUGAGUUUGAAACUGUGAACAUUGAAAGGGAAAAGACAAUCAACAUCAGCUUCAGAAACCUUAAGAAGCUUGAAAUCAAGUAUGAAAAAAUUGUUGAUGCAAAAAAAGAAACUCAUACUACCACAAUGAUAAUGGGGGAUGUCCUCAUCAUUUUGGUCUCUCUAACUUUUAUUUCAGAUAUAUGUAGAAGCUGCAACAAAGUAGGCCCAAAUUAAUAACAUCACUUCAUAUCAAGUAUACUUCAAUAUGACAUGCAGAAUGAAAUCAUCCCGAAUGCAACCUGAAUUGCCAAGGCCAAGAUAAUUUAAAAAUCAUAUUUGUUUAUAUAAGGUCAAUAUUUUCAUACUAACUUUGUUUGCAACAAAAACUUCAUACAACUCAGCUUACAAGAUUAACCAUCUUAUCGAGAUCCAUAUAACAUGAGUUAGCUAUAUAGUUUAACAAACUUGUCACUUUCUUACCUUAUUUGUAAUACCCCUUACCCGACCCGGUAUCCAAACCAGAGUAAAUAGAUACUAUAGUAACAUUCCACAACCAAUAAUCACUUACUAAACAAUAGUUACUUAUUGAUAAUUGAUAUUCUAAAUAAUCAAGCAUAAUAAGUUUUAAAACUCUAAAAGCACCUCAUUGUAAAAUCCAAGCAUAGAAUAGGAUAGGUUUACAAAAUUUCUAAAGUUUUAAUGAAAAUAUUGAAAAUCCGUAGUUGGUAUCAAUAUUGAAAUGAUACCUUUUUGAAAAUUGAUACCAAAAUUGACUAUUGUUUUCUUUGCAAAACAAUGGUAUCGAUACUUAUUUUAGGGUACCGAUAUUUUAUGAAAAAGUAUCAAUACUCAAAUAAAAAUCGAUACCAAAUUAGCAUUCUGUUUAGUUAGAAAAUUGUUCAAAUGGUCAAAUAUCGAUACCAAAUGCUAAAGUAUCAAUACUUGUUUUUAAAAUGGUAAAACCUCAUCUUUAAAAGUUCAAUUCAGGCCAAAAUUCACCUAUCUUACAAUAGACAAUUAAAAUAACCUAUUCAAACAUCUAUAAGACUAACCAAUGUGUCCUCAUUGACACCACAAUUCAAUAUCCAAACUAAAAUAACAUUCCAAACCAAAGUAAUUGCUUUUAAAGUACUUAAACAUCCUUAACAAUACAUACCAAGAUACCACCUCUUUCAAUCUAUAAGUCAAAUUGUCAUAUUCACUCACUUUCAUAAAAUUUAUGCCAAAUAUACCAAACAAGUUCCAAACAUAAAUAUAUACCAAACCAACAACAUAUUCACAUGUACCAAAUACAUCUAAAGACAAGCAUCAUUCAAGUUUAACAACUUCACAAAAUAUCCACAUAAAUUCAUUUAACCUAUUACAAGCCAUAUAACCUAAUACGAUCAUUCAAAAACUACCGAUAGAUUUUCGAAUAGUGUGAAUCUUGAAGUUGAUCCGAUCACCCGUAUCUACAAGUACAUAUCUACAAGAAAAUAGUAAAUAAGCACAAGUAAGCUUACUUAAGCUUAGUAAGUUCUACAGAAUAAAAAUAAUAAUUAACUUACUGAAUAAACUUAAUCAAUACAGAAAAGUUAUAAAUCAUAGCCCUGUCAUUCAUAAUCAAAUCACAAGUGAAUCAAAAACUUGUAUACGAAUGAAUCAAUUCAAUCAAUUAUGUUAUAACACUAAAUAUACCCGAUGAACGUUGUAAUGGAUUUGGAUACAUGAUUAACCAACCAAACACACCAAAUCGCUCAAAUGAGCUAACCAAACAAGAACACACUUGGGCACCAAGCAUCAAGCCAUAGGCUGACAUCCCUCUGAAACACACCCCGGCAUUAAGUGUCAAGCUCGUAGGCUUUACAUCCGCCCCCGAAACACACCUGAAGCACUGUAAUAUAAUGCGACAGUUCACAACAAAUGCUGAACUUCGGUAUAUUCAGUAAACAUUAAUAAAACCAGAAUAAUCAUCUCAGUAUCAACCAAAUCCCGUAUAGUGUUCGUUAUGACCUAUUGACAUGCCAAGCGUAUCCUAUCCUAUGUUCAUCGGCUCACAUAUUUAUCAUGUAUCAACAUUUAAUACAAAUUCUUUUCCAAAUCAUUCCACUUGCCACAAUUCAAUACUUCCAAGCCAUUUUAAUAUUUUCAUCCAUAAGUAAUUAAAUGUUUAAAAAUAUAUUAAAAUUAACCCGUACGAACUUACCAGGGCCAAAAUGCAGAAACAUUAAUUGUUUAGGGACUAAUCCACAACCUUCCCUUUUCCAUGAUUAUCAACUUGAUCUUGAUCUAUAAUAUAAUUUAUUCCAUUUAUUAGCCUCAACUUCACAUUCUAUUCAAUUUAAUGUAUCUAAUUUCUUAUUUACAAUAUUUACACAUUUACUCCAAACAUUUACAUUCUAUACAAUUUGGUCCCCAAAGACCAAAACAUGAUUAUUUCUAAAAUUAACCUUUUUUCCCAUAGGAUCAAAUUUUAACCACUCCAAACCGGCCCCUACUCAUGCUAAAAUUUCUCAAGAAAGCGUAAUAAUUUUAACAUUCUAUUUAUUUUAUCCCUAAUCUUAAAAAAUCUUAAACGAAAAUCGUGGAGAGAAAAAGAAUUGGAUGUAUUUUCCUUCUCUCUCUCUCCAAAAUCGACCUAAUCCAAUAAUUUAAAAAAAAUUGGCAUUCUGGGGCAAUUCACCCAAAUAUCUACUUUUAGUUAUAGUUCCUCUUCAUUUUUUUUAACUAGAUCCUCUUCAUUCUUAAAUUGUAAAAAUGAAGGAAAAAAACUUGGUUAGUUCAUUCAAAUCAAUAUUAUAAAUUAACUAUUUAUUUUUUAAAAUCAAUAAAUGUAAAAAUAACUACAUAAUUUUUUACUUCUCGUCCACGUUGCAGGUAUAUUUUUUUUAUUUUUAGUUUCUCAAACAUCAAUAUUAUUAUAUUUAUGGUCACUAAAAUAUUAGUAAGUUUACAUUUUAAUCACUUAACUUUAAAAGGUUAUAAAAUGAUCAUUGAAUUAUUCAAAAGCUUUCAUUUAAGUCAUUAAACCAUUUGAAAGUUUUUUGUUUAAGUCAUUAGGUUGUUAAGUUUUUAUUUUAAAAAAGCCUGGCUUGCGAGCUCCAAGCAACAAUUUGUAUGGUAGAUCAAUAGCCAUCAACAAGUAGAAAAACAUAUUAUAAAUCCAAGUCAAUCUGACAAUCAAUGUUGAAGAUUAAAGAAUAAAGCUAUUUUGAUUUUGGUUCGCAGAUUUAUGAUAUUCAAAUUUAUUUCAUGAAAAAAAAACUAAAUUGUAGAAGAGAAGGAAAGUGAGAGAAUUUAAUUGGUGAAAACGGUGUGAGCAAAGAAGGCCAUACAGUAAUAAUUUUAACAGCUCGAUGACUUAAAUAAUUGAAUAGUUAAAAGAUCAUUUUGUAACUUUUUAAAGUUGAGUGACCAAAACAUAUUUUAUUAAUAAUUUAGUGACAUCGAGUAUAAUUUACCCUGAAAAUAAUAAUAUUGAUGUGUGACAAACCAGAAUAAAGAAAAAGAAAAAAAAUUAUACCCACCAUUUUCAUGAAUAGGGUUCAAACUUCCAAUUAUACUAUUAAAAAAUGAACAAUCAUCACACUAGACUUUGUAGUUACGGUAUAAAUGCUUUAAAUUUAUUUCCGCCAAGGAUUUUUAUCAUUUUAAAAUAUUGUUUAUAGUUUAAAACUAGUAUAUAUUUUUUAAAAAUGAAUCAGUAAUUCACAAGUAAAAAAAUAAAUAUUUGACAAAAACCCAAUAAAAAAUUUGAAGAUUACGGAAUAGUUGAAACUGUUGGUAGUUCUGGUGUUCGGGAAAAAAACAAACAUGUCAAAAGUCAACAAGAAAACCUCAAAAAAGAGAACGCUCCGGACGCGAACACCUUGAUGCUAUAAUCUACUAUUAUCAGACCUUUAAUGCCAGCGCUGGAAAGCAAUACAGCUACUAAAACCUCAUCUGGUUUUAAUCUAUAAAGGAUCAUAUUCACUCUGCCCUCAAUCAUGUCCUCAUAUGACAGACAUCAAAUAUAGCUAUUAAUUAACCAGAAGCCAUUAAUAUCAGUACAACAUGUUACAAAGUUAGACGCAACAGUUUACAACAAGGGAAGUUGGGGGAGACUCUAUGCAAAUAAUUAUCGAUCAUCUGUCAAGUCAAGGAUAGUAUUAGGUGAAAUGAAAAAAAAUAAAAUAAAACGUACCAAGAACAUUAAUUCACUACACAAUCCUAUCCUAUUUCUUAUUUAAGACGUAGAUGGGAACAGUGGGUUUGGUUUUAUAUCUAUAGAGAACCUUCUUCUUGAGCAAGGGGUUAUCAAAGGUUAUAACUAUCUUCCCUGGUUCACUAAUAUAAAAUGAAUUCCUAACACCCUCUCCUUUCUUCUUUUCCUUCUCGUUUUGGAGCAACACUUUGUACGACCCUUCAUCGUCUGGAAUGAACUCUUCCUUGUAGGAUACAUCACAUGAUACUACCACUGUUAAAUCCCAAACCAUUGUCACUCCAGCCUGAUAUAAAUCACAUACAUACAUUGGUUAGUUUUUUCUAGCUGGGUUUUUUUUGGUAUAUUGGAGGGUUUGGGUCAUUAUAUUUGUACCUGAGGAGCUGGAAUUCGGAUGUGCUCAAAUGCAUUUGCUCUAACCGUAACCUCUGAAACCUUGUCUUCUGGGGAAAAGUCGUCGUCGUUAUCUCUUUUGAAACCUCCAUAUUCAACUGGAAGGUUUUCUGGGGGUAUAAACCUAGUUUCCAGACAAAGAUGGAUUAAAAGGAGAAACAGGCUGUAAAUAUUUGUUACUGAAUAGAUUAUAAGAUUUCUUACUUGAGAAGAGUGGAAGUAACUUUCCCUGGUCUGGCAAUAACAAUCUUGCUUUUCUUUCUCUGAGUUUUCAGCCGGGAAGAAAACGUAUGGGAGAUAUAAUACCACAAGGGAACAUUUAUGAUUAUCUGCAAUUAUCUCGACGGUUAAGAUAUGGAGCAAUGAUCAAUUAAUCAAAACGUACGUACGUACGUAUGUAUGUAUGUAUGUAUGUAUUAUGUGGUUUUACAUUUAGAUGGAUGAGGUGAGGAUAAUGAUCUUGAAACAACUUCCAAGAUUUUCGACAAACAGAACGAAGUUCCUUUGUGGUAGGCCCUUGUGCGUGCUUCAUAUCUAUGAUCUGAACAAUGGAGUUGGUUCCACCGGGUUGAAACCUGAGUUCCUUGAUAGCCUUCUCCAUGUAUUGAACUCUCCAUCUCAAGAACUUUUCGCGCUUCUCUUCUGAAGCAAGUAUCCUAUAUUGGGUUUGCUGGUCUUUCAAGGCACCGUAUACGUUGUAAUACACAGGGUGACCGUCCUUGUCUCUACUGUUUUGAUAAGUCAAGUUUUCGAAACCAGGAACCAGAUUUUCUUCCAGGAUUUCAUCGGCUUUGAAUUCCUUCCGCCAUUUUAACGUCCUCUGAAGCAUCUCCAAGGCCUCAAGCACCUUGUAAUCUUUUGCUUCCAAGAAUUUCAACAGCACAAUGUCGGUUCCUCCAUGGCGUUUGCUUGGCAUCAAUGGUACACCCCAAAGUGUAAUCUCUUUCAGUUGUUCAAUGGCCUUUGCGUUGUCUUCUCCACCAACUUUGUUGCUUGGUUUCCCAAAGAGAUAAUCCCCAAGAAUCGCAUCUUCAACUCGGCACCUAAAUUCAACCAAGGCCUUGAAUUUCCUUUCCUUCAUUCUCUUUGCAACAUUCAGUCUAUCUUCUCGAACGGAUGGAGGUUCUUCAAAGGUUUCCUCAUCGGUUUCUUGGUCGGAGUUGGUUUGACUUGGACACCCUUUCUCAUGGCCCUCUUGAACUUGGAGGGCAAUCUCAUAAUCAAAUAGAUUAGCCAUGUUUUGAUCCUGAACCUUGCCACUUUCUUUUGCUUUGUUGAUGUUUUCUCUUUUCUUCCCCAUUUCUAACCUUCUUCUGGUUAGGGGCUAUUCCUUGAAAGAAUAUUCGGAAUCUGGAUGGAAACUGAAUCCCUAAAGGUUAAGUGAUUCAUUGAAGAGGGAUAAAUAGAGAGAUGUGGUAACAGCUGAUUAACAGGCGCCAAAUUUAGGGCGAGAGAAAAAGCAUGAGCCCAUUUGUUUGAUUGCCAGGUUUGCAAACGCUUGAAAUAGGUUCUUUUUGGGUAUAAAAAAAAUGUUCUCUUUUGGACCAAUUAACAUGACUUGUUUAAUAGAGUGAUUGUUUUGUUAGAAAAAGAAAUGGGGAUUUUGUAUGCCACAAUAUAGAUAACAGUCGAACAACAAUUGAACAUAAUAAGUAAAUUUAUCAAAAACCAUAAUUAUAUAUAGCAUUUGCGGAUGAAAUUGAAACAAGACAUGCCCAUACAUAAAGUUAAAAACGCCCAUGAUACACCCUUAUCCAGUAAUAAUAAAUGCAGUGCAAGUGUGUCUAUGUUUGUGUUUUGAGGGUAAUGAAAUAAAAACAAUGACAAAUGCAAUCCAAUACGAACUUUAUAUAUGUUUUUAUAUUAGAAAGCAUGUAAAUUACACGACCUGAUAAACUAGUAUGCAUUGGGACGGACUACUACGUAAUCUUAUUCAAUACUUACAAUAAGUCAACCAUAAAGUUACCAGCACAAAAGUCGUGCAUUGGAAAUUAAAACCAAGGAAACGCUCUAAACUCCUUAAUUCUCAAUCGUGUUUUAUUGUUACUGCUGGUUCAUUAGUGUCUACUUUGUCGGAAGCACUUAUCUUGGUUUCUUUAUGGGUCGAGGGAGAAGCUGUUGUCUUGGUUUCAUCAUGUGUUGAAGGGGAAUCACUGAUCGUAUUUUCGUUACAGGUCUCAACUGGAACAGUGGCAUUAGCUGCAGUGGUGCCAGAGUUUUCGGUAUGCUGUCUUCCAGACAUUGAGCCGGCUUCCAGUUCCUCGAAUUUGGAGAUGACCUGUUGAAGCUCAUCAUUCAGAUUCAGUGCCUCAAUGAGAAUUCCAUCAUCAUCAGUAGUGCCUUCUAUGAUCAUCUGAAUAACAGGCUGGGAUUGCUUGCACUUCUCCAACAUGCUCUUUGUCAACUCGUCCUGCAACCAAAAACUUUUCUCAGUUUUUUUUUUUUCAUUUGUUAUAUCAUUCCAAUUUGGAGAAGGGUUUGCAUUCCGGGAGAAUGCAUUUAAUAGAUUCCUCGACUUGGAAGAUAUUAUGCGGAAAAAUUACAUUGGAAGAACAACAAGCUUCAUGAUGCAGAUAAUAAUAGCAUUCUGAAAAAUAUAAUAAAAACUAAAUUGCAGUAACAUUUCAUUUCCUGGCAUGCCAAAGGAUCAAAGGCACUAGAUCAGGUAAAAGUUAAACGAAUUAAGGAAAUAAAAUCGCCAAUUGAAGUAACAAUAAAUGUUCUAGUUUCAAAUGACUACAUAAUAUAUAUGGGUGGAUUUGCAGCAAGGUCUGAAAUACAGAAAACAAAGUACAUACAGUUAAAUCAUGUUUUCAGCUAAAAACAGAUUAAUUACCAUUGUGGGUUUCCGCUCGGUUUCCUUAACCAACAUGCUAGAAAGCACCUCAAGGCUGUUCCGAGUUACUUCGAAAACUUCCUUCUUUUGCUCAACAGAAAGAUUCCCAUAGUUGUAGGCAAAAUCACUGGCAUGCAAUUCUGGGUCAUUGACAGGAUAAUCUUCAGAGGGAGGCAAUCUCAUACAAGACUCCAAGGAAUACUGCAAAGGGCCUGAUUUCCCGUUACCUACUGGUACAUGUGUACUCCUUUCUUUCAAGCUCUGCUUUAUGUCAAGAUAGGAGAAAAAGUUAAAACAAAAACUAACGACAGGUUUCAUUGUUGCUAAACAUAUUUUUGAAAAAACACCCAUAGAAUUUUCCUAGGCAUAAUCAUAAAUCAGUAUGUUGAUAGAUUACAAUGAUAUAGGAUGAUAGAUUACAAUGAAGAAACUACAAAUGCUAUUGCCCAUUGAUUGACAUCAAAACACUGCCUAAACCAACAUAACAUGGAACACGGAAACGUAAGAAGAACACGAAAUCAAAGUGAAAAUUUGUUUUUUUCUUUUUACCUCAUAAGUUUGGUGAAACACAGGGAGGUAAGCAAGAUCCUGAGAUUGUCCCCAAGCACGAAUCAACUGCAAGGCCCUUCCUCUAUUCCCGUGAUCAGUGUUGGGAUUCUCAAUCAUCUUCAUCAUCUCUUCCAAAACUUUCUCGGAAGCCACCUCGGAAGCUACCUUCUCGCAAUUGGUGGUACAAGCUUCCAACAAAUCGAGGCUCAACCAUUGGGUGACGGCGUUUUUGCCCGAAAUCUUCUUCUUGAUGGCCCUAACAAUUUCGGUCCCAUUGAACUCUUCGCUGUUGAUCAUAGCACAUAUCUUCAUGUUCAAUCCCCAGUUGGGUUCUUCUAAUGUCUCAGAAGUGGCCUCAUCGACGACUUUCCACUCGGAUGUGGGGCCUUGAAGAAUUUCCUUCAUUUUCCCACUAACCAUUCUACUCAUUUGAGCUCCACCCGUUCUCAGUUUCUCGCCCCAUUCAGAGAGUUUUGCUUUAUCCAUACCUCCUUGUUUGCGUUACUAACCAAACCAGAUCUCCACUUGAUUUGAAGCUAAACGAAGAAAAAUACCCUAAAUUGAAAAAAAUUGACUAGGUUAAAAAAAUUGCCCCAAGUAAAGCACGACGUUGUUUAUAAGCAGAGACGAUAGAGAAAAUGGGCAACUUGAAAACAUCGUAGCAUAAACAUUAAAUAAAAAGAAAAAGAGAAUAUCUGAGAGCUGAGUUACGGUAAGAGAGGGACUGAGUUGGAAUCGGUCAUUUGCUUAGCGAAAAGAGAGAGAGAGACGAUGAGGAGGAGAAUCGUCCGAGUCUAAGAUACGCGUGUCUCGUCUAGCGACCUUGUGUUUCCUGGGCCCGCUAGGAUGGGUCCUUUUCAAAGAAGUCGUACAUCGGCUCACGUGUGUCAGGUUUUUUCAAAUGUUUAUUUAGGAAACUUGUAUGAAUAUAUUGAUUUUUUUUUUAAUUCAAAGAUAUUGGUGGGGUAGAGGUGUUCGGUAGGCUGAAUUUGUGCUGAGCCUAGAUAUAAUGUUAAAUUUAAGUUGAAUUCUUUAUAUUAUUUUAAAACUUUUAUAUAUUUUUAUUUAUUAAAUUUACAUUAACAUUUUUUUAAUGUUAUAUUAUAGUAAUAUAUAAUAUUAUUAUAGAUUUAAUUUUUAUGUAUUAUAAAUUAUAUAAUAUAUAAAUAAUAUAAUAUAAAAUAUUAUAAAAUUAAAAACAAGUCAUACUACUAUAUUUUAAAUAGGCUUAAUUUUUUUAUUUAUUAAGUGUAAUAUUUUUUUUAAAUCUUUUCAAAUUUUUUGUGAGCCUUCGGACUUAAAGGACUAGCUUACCCCAUAAACAUGUAUAUGAUAAAGUAGUUUGCAUAGUAACACCCUAAAUUAAUUAUUGAAUAAUCGAUUAACUAAAAGACACAUGUACCAUAAACCUAAAUGGACUACUCAUUAGUCGACUUACUGCCAUGUCAGAUAAGCGACUGUUAAGUAGUCGGUUUUAGGCUUUUAAUGGUGAAAUGUUGGGACCGUAAAAUCGACCAGCCAAUAUCUAUUUUAAGUUUAAUGUAACAGUAUUGGCUCAAUCGAAGCCAAUGUUGGAUCAAUCAAUGAUGGGUGAAUCAAAGCUAGUAUUACGUCAAUCAAUACUAGUGGGUCUAAAAAAAUAACUUUAAGCACGGAGUAAAAUUCGAUUUGAUUUAAAAAAUUUGAUAAAAAUUUUAAAUUUUAAAUUUUAAAUUAAAUAGUUUAAGGUAUUCGAGUUAAUUGAGUUAUUCAGAUCAACUUGAAUAAAAAAAAUUAAUCUUUUUAGUUUAACUCAAAUAUAAAUUACACAAUUUGAGUUAUUCGAAAAUUCGAAUAAGAAAAUAUAUAAUUACUCCGUUUUGAUAAAUAUUUAUCUUUUCUAAAGUUAAAAGUCAAAACUAUUAAAUUAAAAGGUAAAACUAUGUCGUUUUGAUAAAUGUUUACCCGUUAGCGUUACUUAUGUAGUUAAAUAAUUUUGUAUUUCAUCUACUAGUUAAAUAAUCAGUCCAUGUAAACAUAACAUUGAUUAUAAAUAAUAUGAUUCGUUAACUCAACUCGACUUGACUUGAAAUUUUUCGACUCGAUUCGAAAAAUUUUCAAAUUGAGUUUGGUUCUUAAAAUAGGAUUCGUCAACUCGACUAACUCGAAUUUUUUUAACUUAAUUCGACUUGACUCGACCGAAUGCUCACUCCUACUUAUUUCCGCUUCACCCUUUAAAAUCUACCCCUAGGUUGUAUAAACCCUCCUCUACUCCACUUCAAAACAUAUAGAGAGUUCCGAAUUAUUUGGGGUCCACAACAGUACUGCACCUAGUUUUACAAUCCUAAUUUUAUUUUUUAAGUAUUUAUUUAACUUUCAGAAUAUUAAGUAUUGUUAAUUUUUUAUUUUUGAUAAAAAAUUAUAUUAUAUUAUAUUAUAUUAAGGGCCUUUAUGGAUAUGUGUUUACCUUUAGUGCAGUGUGUUAACUUUCUUUUUAUUUCACACUACAAUAUCGCUAAAGUAUAUAGUAUCACUGCCACAAUUGUUUUUACACCAACAGCAGGUAAACGCAUCGCCCAUCUAAAGGGACCCUAAGUAUUGUUAAUAUAUAUUAAUUUAUUGCUUUUUUUUUUGCAAGUUUAAGGUUCAAAUAUGGACAAAAAAUUCUUUGUAAACAGUCUAUUAUAAUAAAAAAAUUCAUGAAAUUGAAGUCAUUUUUAUUUUUCAAUCAAGACAUCAGAUACGUAUAUUUUUCAAUACAACUGUCAAACUUGAUGAAUUAAUGUCAAGGAUCAAUUAAAAAAUCAUAGCUCAAUGUAGGAGGAUAUUGUUUAGACUGGUGCAUAGAUUUAAAAUGUCAUUUAAGCCACUCAUUUAUAACACGCUUGAACUUUAUGAUGAUGAUGUUGAGACUAUGAUACCAACCCAUUUUUCAACGGAAAAUGAUGCAACAAAGUUGUAGCUGAGUUGUAUGAUGCUGAGCAAGAUUGUGGAGUAGGUGAUAUUCCAAGUUCAUCCAUGCCUGUCAUUAAUAUUUCUCCAACUAUAUGUGAACUACAUGAGGGGGGAACCUGUAUACAAAGUUAUCAUAUGCACCAAUGGGAAGAUGAUCGUUUAUAUAUGGGUUGGAUCCUGACCCAAACGAAGCUUUGGACGAUUCGUACCAAUAUGUUGCACCAUAAAAAUCGUUGAUGCUUAUUAAUUCGAACAUGGAUGACGAGCAAUACAAAUUUUUAAACGAAGAAGAAUAUAUUAAUGACUUUAGUGAUCUUCAAAUUAAAGGUGUUCCCAAUGGCAACAUUAAUAAAGAGGAGGAGGGGGGAGAAGAAAAAGAAUAAGAAGAAGAUGAUGAUUUUGACAAUAAUGCCAACGAUAAUACUGCUGCAAAUUGCUAGAAGCUUAAAGAGAUCGUAUCAUUCUUCAUCUCUAUGAACCUUCAUCCCAUACGCACAACAUUAACAUAAAUGAAAUCGAGGCCUUGAAAUUUCCAGAAUAUCCCGGCAUAGUGCUAAGUUAUAUGAUGAGUUCAGCUACAAAUUGCAAAUAUCUAUAUGUAGAGGCAUAAUUUCCAUUAACGUAUGCAGUUGUGGCAGCCAUCAAACACUACAACAUCAAAGCUUGUGUUGAUUAUAAAAUUGAGGUAUCUUCACCAACUUUGUAUGUUGGGCAAGUGUUGGAAGUAUAAUAAUGGGUAUAAUUAGAGAGUUAGGGUUGUGUUAAGGAAGAGGACACAAAUUUGGGAGAUCCGAAAAUGGAAUGGAUCACACACUUGCACUUUUUCUUGACUUUCACAAGAUCAUCGAAAAUUAGAUUUAGACUUAAUUUGCAAUUGCAUUAUGCAGUUGGUGAAGGCAAGCCCGACUAUUCCAGUUGUUGUUCCAAUCGCUGACAUGCAAUCUCAAUAUAAUUACACUGUCAGUUAUCAUAAAGCUUGGUAUGCAAAACAAAAGGCCAUUUAUUGAUUAUAUGAAAAUUGGGACAAUUCUUAUAACGAGUUGCAGUCAUGGUUAGCAACAAUGCAACAAUUUACACUAGGUGUCGUGGUGGAAUUGCAAACCUUCGAUGGAUA
rnacentral:lncRNA from 1 species